AAAAAAAAAAAAAAAAAAAACUUUGGCCUCUAAAUUUUAAUAAUACUUUUAAUUUUUAUUCUAUCAUAAUCAGAGACGAUUAUGUAAUUUUUAAAAAGUUGCGGGAGGCCGUGGCCAUUGUGAGCCUCUCAAUAGCUCAGUCACUGUUGUCCUUUUCUACCUUUAUCUUUCAGUUAAAGUGGAAAUAGCCUUGGUAAAUUUUGCAACUAGCAAUGAAUGAAAUUUUUAGAAAACUGCAGAAAUAGCCUUGGUAAAGUUGAGUUCCGCACAAACUGCAAACUGUAAUCGCAUCAUCUGCUAAAGUUUUGUACUGCAGCUGGAGGACAUGCAGAGCAUGUUGGCUGGCGCCAGCAUAUUUUUGAAAAAUUAAUCUGAGAAGUAGUUACCACCGCUUUAUUCUAAUUCGAUCUGGAGAUGAGUGGAAGACCAUUUCAAAGAAGCGAGACGGCUUCUAUGAAUGGCUAGCCUCAAAGAGAGGGAGAGAAAAAAAAAAUAAAAAACUUCAUUAGUUUUUGCCCGAAGGGCAGCUCUACGUCUCCCAAGAAGAAUUCUAGACAAUAUUUUAAAAAUCAGAUCGAACAGUGUCCUAAGAAUAUUACUGGAUCAAGAGUCACUGAUUCAAUAAACACUAAUUGAACCAGUCACUUCAACAUGACGUCAUAAAUACUUGAUUAUUAUUUUUAGUUUUAUUAUAAAGAUAUAUGUAUUAUUCUAGUAUCGUAUUUACUUAAAAAAUACUGAGUUUUAGACCAAAUUAAGUAGACAUAAGUUUUUUUAAGACUAGUAUAUGAUAAUAGAAAAUAAAAUCAUUGAUUUCUAAGCCGUUGGAUUUUACUAUAACUUAGAUCAAACGGCCAAGUUUAAUUAAAACCAGAGCGGUUCACUGGUUCGAUAGUUGAACCGUCGAAUGAAAUAGUUAAAAACAGUUCUUUGACUUAUCUCAUUGAAAGGGUGAACUGAACUGAACUGAACUGCUUCCAAGAAUGCUCUAAAGAAUGCAAAAGGCCAGAUUGCCUAGGUAACCAAGAAAAAGGGAACGGCGGGCGCUACCUUACCACUCUUUCCGAUGGCAAUGAUCGGAAAAAAGGAAGGUGUGUGGUUGAUGUGUCACUAGGUCGGCCCGGGAUACGACCUGCCGGAUUCACAACAGAAAUCGCCAACAUGAACACAAUCGAUGCUCGAUUGCGUUCCUACUCCAUUCUAUUCUCCAGUGAAAUCUCAUAGAAUGCCGAUGGAAUACAUUUUGGAAAGAAAACUAUUUAGUACUUUGGCCUCCUAGUGUUUGUUUCAUCGAAAGUGGAGAGGAAUGAAAUAACUUUUUAUUGUUUACUGUAACUUUACCUUCGGUCGAAACUCAGACUCCUCAAAAUGCCAUACUUGUUAAAAAAAAGAAGAAAAUAAUAAAAUAUUAAUCUAUCUCUCAUAUUUUCGAUUGUGUUCAUGUUUUUCAAAACAGCGCAAUUUCAAAAUAAGAUUGCGCUGUUUGAAAAGAAUGUUGCACUCUUUGAGACGAAAAUUAUAUUUUUUGAUACGAAAAUUGCACUCCUUAACCGAUAGUUAUACUUUUUUAAAAAAAGUUGCACUUUUUAUUCCGAUAAUGCAAAUUAACAAUUAAAUGAUUAAUAAUGGUGUGGCAUUACCUACAGCGGCCAAACAUCAUUUGAAGUCUUGUCGAGCGCCCGGACGUGCCUGUCGAGCAACCGGAGACACGCCUCAGCCUUAGGCGGCACCCGGGUGCGGGCACGCCGUCGAGCGCCCGGAGCAGCGACUAAUGAGCAAUCCCCUAUCCAUGGAUGGGUGGGGAAUAGGAUGUACACUCAUCUUUCGGUGUACAAUUAGCUUUUUCCAACUUUUAUAUAAAAUAUUCCAAAUUGAUCCCCGUACUUUUAUUUCAAUCACAUAUUGGACUUUUUUACAAAAUAGCCCUCUAAAAUUUUGGUAUUUGCGAAAUAACUCUACCAAAAUUAUAUUUGAAAAAUUAAUCCUCUUUUUUCCAUGUAGGUGCCACGGUUGAAUUUUCUCUUAAAUACGGUGAAUAAUUUACCGUUUUGCGGUGAAUCCUUUACCAUCUUUCACUUAUUUACUGUUUCUUUUUAUAUCACAUAUAUAAUCCUAACAACCACAUAAAUAUUUUAAUAAAUCACAUAUAGUCUUAACAACCUGAAAAUUUUAAUAAUUUAUCAUACAAUCCUAAUAAUCAAAAAAAUCCUAAUAAUCUAUCCAUAUAAUCCUAAUAAUCAAAUAUCACAUAUAAUCUUAACCGCUUGAAAAUCUUAAUAAUCUAUUCAUACAAUCCUUAUAAUAAAAAAAUUCUAAUAACUUAUCCAUACAAUCCUAACAAUCAAAUAAAAAUUCUAAUAAUCUAUAUACGUACAAUUUUAACAACCUCAAACAACCUCACUUGUUUUCUUUUUUCCAUAUAUAAUCCUCGCCGUUAAAAAUUAUGAAGAAGGCGGUAAAUCGUUAACGAUCUUUAUAAAUACAGCAAACGAUUCACUAUCUUUAAAAGACAUCGGAGACUUUUAGUUUGCCGGAUAUAAAUUUGGCAUACUCAUUUUGCAAAUUAUAAAAUUUUAGAGAGUUAUUUUGAAAAAAAAAAAAUCCCCCACAUUUGUCAAUACCAUCUGAACUUACUCAUUGCCAAAUAAACAUUUUGGAGCCUUCGAGUUAACUGAGGCACGCGAAUCAUUUAUUACAUCGUAUCAAAUAGCAAUUUUACGCCGAGAAGCUCAGGUGCUCAGGUAAAAGUAGAGGGUGAUCAAACCGGACAACAGCGACUACCCAGAGAACAAAAAAAGAGUUGCGGAGCAAAUCUACACCCCAUAAGCCGACUUCGAAGAGAUCAGGUGGCAUGCCAACUACAAAAACAAAAUACUACACAUACGAUGAGUAGACAAGAACUACAGAUCGGAGAUAAGUGGGGGUUUAAACCGAAAAGGCGGUAACUAAGUCAUUUCCUCAGAGUAGGAACUCUCCAAGCUACACCUCCACAUCUAUGUGUACAUAUAUUGGUACUCCAUAAAAGCAAGGCACAAACUGAUACAUUUAGUAAAUAGCAAGAGAGAGAGAGAGAGAGAGCUUCCUUCGGCCCUUCGUGACCGAAGCAAAGAAAAGGCGGGGGGAACGAAAUCAUAAGAUCUUUUAGAACUUGAAAUCCUUCUUUUUUGAUUUGCCCUCCUUCUCCUGCUUCCUCUUCCUCUUGUUCGCGUUCUCCGCCACCAUGUCGCUGAAAUCCUCUUUCUGAUUGCGUAGCUUCUCCUCCUCUCGCGCCUCCGCGUACCUGCACGCCGUUAAUGAGCGGAAAUCGGAUGAGAAUUUGCAGCAGCAUAUCAAAGUAUGCAAGAUGCAAGUUCGUCGGAAUCUUACUUGGCCGGCAAAACAUCGUCCAUAACUUCAAGCUCCUCAGGUUGUAUAGUGACGUCCACUUUGUCGGCCUUUUGUCCUCGCAAUAGAUCAACCUAUGUAGAGAUUUACAUUCAAGGGAAAAAAACAGAAAAAUAAAAAAAGAAGUCGUCAUAAGAUGCAAAUAUGAAAAUUCACAAGGCAUAUUCAUAGAAGUGAAAAUAAAAGGAAAAGGACGCGGAUAAGAAAGGGACCCUACCCUUUUAGCAGCUGUUUUGUCUUGUUGCCCAAGCACGUACCUAUUAUACGAAAAAGAACAAAGAAAAUCAGCAAUAUGUUUGCUGUGCGCAUUUUGAAACCCAAUUUGUUAAAGUAUUACUAGCAAGUAAGCUUGUACAUUACAAAAUACAUGUUUAGAAAGAGAUACAUACGUGUGAGUUGUUCCGAGUAGUGUUCCGGGUGCAACCGCUUCUUCUUUCUCUUCGAGAACCUACAGAAUUGGUAGAUUCGAAUAAUUUAGUAAAUCUAGUCACUGAAUUAGGAAAAGGGAAAUGUAGCUGAAAGAUAAGAAAACAUGAAGUCAAAAAAGAAUGCAACAGCUUUUACCUGGUACAGGGGCUUCUCUGGCUCCUUUCUCUGUUGCUUCCGGAGGUCGAUAACAUCAGGUGUUUCCACGCCAGUGGGAGUACUGAACAUAAAAAGGAGAAGCAUUAGAGAGAUCCCAAUGUCUUUCUUUAAUUGUCACUUUCCAGAAGAAAGUAAAGGCAAAUGUUAAUAUUAUUAAUUAAUAAUAAAUACCUCGAGAGGCUAUCAACGGAUUGAAUGCCCGCCUCCAGCUCCUCUUCCUCCAUCUCUUCUUCUUCCUCUUCCUCCUCCUCCUCCUCUUCCUCCUCCAAAUCUCCCCAGUGCUUGCUCCGAUCAACCGGCUCUUCCUGAAAUGGAAAAUCACCACGCAAUCUCAGUCAAGAGAAACACAAAAACAUCACCGAACUCUGUAGAAUCUUUUGGACAUUCCAUUUUUACCAGCGUAAGUCAUGUAUUCACACGCAUGCCCCUUGAAAAUGGAGUCCAUUAACAUCUCUCCCUUAUUUUCAAGUCGAGAAGUCAUCCCAUCCAACACGGGGAAUGGGCAUAAUAAAAUGUCUUCUAAAGAAGUGCAUUUUUGCACAUAACAGGGUAUAUACGUAAAAAACCAAGUUUUUUGAGGGCAUAUAUGAUAAGUUAAAGAAGUUUUGCAAGGGUUUAAAUAUAUAUCUACCUCAUAAUUGGGUUGCUCCUGCUGUUGGACUCCGAAAACAUCGCCAUACAACGGACGGCCAAACUGUUCAUAGACAAUGGAAGGAGCUCAGAAGAAUAUAUAGAAUAGUAAAACAGCUAAAUUGUAACACAAAAGGAAAUGGCAACUAAAGAGGUAAUUGUAAUUUACUUCGUCAACGGGCGGUUUGCCCCAACCUCCUGGGUGAUAACCAAAGCUAGCUCCUGGAGGAAUAGGAGCAUUUAGUCCGGGUAUCUUCAGUUGCGGGUAAGAUGGUGGCGGGCCAUACCUCUGCAAAUUUUGUGUUUCUGUUGAUUUAGUUGGAAAGACACAAGGGCGUUGUUGACAGGGAAAUCAAAGGGACAGUUUGGCAACUUACUUGCAUGUUGAUAAGCCAUGGAGGUGGGGCACCAUCAGGCAUACCGAGAGCUUCUUUGAGUUCUCGAGACAAAGUACCUGGCUUCAUCUCCCUAAGCUUGACCUAUACAAUUGCAGAAAACCACGAUUAGGGUGCUACUUUGUUAGUAACCACAAAAUACAGGGAAACUAGCACAAGGUAGAACAUCAAACAAAGACUCGUAGAUCCAUGAAUCAAUAAGCUGAGGAAUGGGAAUAUAAGAGAGUGAUUGAGAGAGUUUUGCAUAGGUGCAUAUCACAUACAACUCUAAAUCCUAUACACAUGCUGUAGCUCUAUCGCAUAAACCUGUCUUAAAAUCUCCAAAUUGCUCUGUCACAUUACUUUGCUACUUGGACAACAUAAUGCAGAAGCAACGGAGCACAAUUAGGGAUGCAAAUGGAUCCGGGUUGGUGGAGCUCCGCCCCGAUCUGCCCCGAAUGGGGUGGUAAGUGGGAACAAAAAAUAUAAAAAAAUAUAACCCGCCCCGAAUCCGCCCCGAUCCGCCAAGUAAAUGGAGCGGGAGGUGGGAGACUCUUUUCUUCCUUCAAUCUGCCCCGAUCCGUCAAAAAUCCGGCUCCCGCCCCGAUCCGCCCCGAAUGGAGCGGUAAGUGGGAGCCAAAAAUAAAAUGAAAAGUAACCCGCCCCGAAUCCGCCCCGCCCCGAUAAGAAAUGGAGCGGGAGGUGGGGGAACUCUCCCGCCCCCGGAUCCGCUCCGUUUGCAUCCCUAAGCACAAUUUUGUUUGAGACGUAUUUCAUAUCUUGUAGAUAGAUCCCAAUGGCAACACAUUAGCAAUGACCUUUGUCUUUUGAUAUCAACAAAUGCCCUAACUCUAUAUCGUACUUCAUAUGUAUCAUUGCACACUGCAUAUUCAUGAGUGUGGCCAAGAAGGUGAAGUAGCACUUUCUACCAUGUUAAUAAGGAAUAGUGAGUCACACUACGAGGCGUAUAGAAUAAAGCAAAAAAAAAGCAACAUGAGCAGGAGACCCGAGUACACAAAUUAAACAUCAUAGAAAUGAAAAUCAUACAUUCCAAAUCAAAAUUUAGUGAUUUACACAAUCUAAACAAGCCCAUCGCAAAGGCAAAUCAUAAAUUUCAAAAUAAUAUAUUCUAGUAAUUACUUUUGACCGGUCAAACACUUAUAUAUUAUGCAACUCAGUCUAGAUCAAAUAAUUUUUAUUUAGACUAGCGGAGUUAAAAUUGCGUUUAUUGGUUCAGUUUCAGUUUGUUUGUUCUACAGUGAAUUGGUUUCUUUAAAGGAAAGGCAUUUUACUGCAAUAGUACAAGCACAUUUAAACUUCUCCAAACGGAUUGGCAAAUAAACUGAGAAAGAAAUUCAACACGAAUAACGAAACUCGUCAAAUAGCUGUACAGAAUCUACCAAUACAUUAUUUUGCUUAAGGAAAAGAGAAAUUACAAAAUUUACUAGAAAACCAAGCAAGAAGGUAUGUGUAGCCAAAUGUUCAACCAAUAAAUUAUUCAUUUAGUGGUGUAACUAUUGUCCAAUUUCCCUGGCGUACUGUAAGUACCUCAAAUUCUUUCCCUUCAUGAUAUAAAUCACCGUGUGUAGUCAACUUUGGUUUCGUUUGAUAUUUGAAGAAGGCAUCAUGCAACACCUGCACAGGGAAACAAUAAAAUAGCUGUAAGAUUCUCUUUAUGCAAAUCAAAAACUGAGGUGAAGCCAACAAACAUGGAUCUGAUCGUUGCUAGAAAAAAUAAAGUGUCAAUAUUGAAAACAGAGAGUUAAGAAUGCUAGUUAUAGAUAUGAAAUUUAGUGUUGCAGAAAUCUCCUUGAACAAACAGUUGAGCUGUGUAUAACAGAAUAAAAUAACCGUUCACAAGUUGCGAAACCUGUGAUACAGUACUAAUAAAUAAAAUAUUUAGCAGACCAACCUGAUAAUCUAUAUCCAUCUUUCCCAUCUUUGGUUGCAUGCGCUCACGUUGUUUCUGUUUAAGCUUUUUGCUGUCCUCUUUUUCAAUAUAUGCCUGGAAGAAUGAAAAAGAGAGAAAAAGUUAAAUAUAUAAACAAUUGACAGAGACAAAUGACUACUUGUACUAUAUUUGGUUGUCAUAUUCAAAACUCGAAAUGAUAUUUGAUUGUCAAAACAAAAACAAAAAAUGAAGUGCAUCUAAUAAUGGAUAACUUAAAAAAAAACGCAUAAAGCAUGAUAUUUUAUUGCUCCAAUUAAGCAAUUAAGAGUUUAACGAGAUUGCUACCUGUCUUAUUUUUUCUAUUCCUGUAGCAGCAAUAAAGUCAGGAAGUUGGAAAGGCUGCUUCUCGAUACCCCGCUUUCCCUGAAAACAAUUGAAAGAAACUGUAAAAUCCCAAUCAACAAUAAAACCCAAUCCCCAUAUCAGGCCUAUUUGAAAUUAAAAAUUCAAAUUUGGUGUACAUCUCAAGAAAUCUGCAAUAUCAAAAAGAAGGUGGUUUAGUUCAACUAUAAACAAUAAAAAUUUUAGACACCAAGCAUCUGCUAUGUUAGCAAUUCAGUAUUUUUUUUUUUUGUUUAAAUAAUAUAAACACUACAAAUCCUAGACUAGACCUUAUUUCAAUUUGCAGAAGUGGGCAUCAUAUGCAUAUAACUAGACCCCACCACCCUAGUGUAUUAUACAAGAGAAACCCUCAAGUCACUCUUGGGCAAACACCACCAAGUCCCAACUCCUUGAAUGUUACAGCCGUUCCCUGCAAAGAAUUACAUAUAUGUAUAAGAGGGGAGACCUUAUCUAACAUUAUUCUUCCCUCACCCUCACAUAACUACAAUAGAAGCAUAUGCACCCCUCAUGUAUAUAUAUAUGCAAAGCAGUCUACAUAAAGCAAGGGUAAGAGAUCGUGAUUCACCUGUAAAAACUUCCGUUUUUGACACCAGUGCCUGGGGACCGGGACAGAAUUCCGAUAUGAUUUCAAAUAAACAAGCAACUUUGGAUCUGCUGCUGUUGCAUCCCAUAUCUUGCAAAAAAGUAGAAAAUAUUCAGCAAAAAUAUCAAGCAAAAGUUAAAUAUCCUAUCUCAGACAAUACGGAAUAAGAACAAGAAUGAAAGUUAAAACACUGCCAUAGACACACAAGGAAUAAUGCAAUGAGAACAAGAAUGAAAACUAAUAUGCAACUAUCGACGCAUAAAAAAUAAAAAGCACAUCAACUGGCAGUGCAAAGCCAGCUAGAAUUCAAGCUACUGUUACCAAGGGAUUGAAAAAUUUACAAUAAAAGAGAAGACAGCAGAAAUAUUCUAAAAGACAAUAGGUCCUCAUGCUAAAAGCAACUAAAGAGGAUAAAUGAGAGAAUUACAUUUUUGAGAAUGCCCAGAUUGUUAUAUAUGUUACAACCAGCUAUUUGAGGAAUGGUUAAGGAUAAGAUGAUUGCAAGAUGCAAAGAGACAAAUCCCACAUGAUAAAUAAGAAUUUAUACUUGGGGGAACAAACUAUGAAGCAAUAUAUUAAACUUCCAAGUGCUUCGGAAGUACUUUGUCAAGGAACCGGAAAUUUAUAUGCAUAAAAUUAAGAAAUUUAUUCGAACAACAAAUGAGAAAACCUACCAAACUAAGAAGCCUCAAAUUGCAUGCACAAAACAUCCAUAUUCCAGAAAAGUUUUAUAACCAUGCCAUUCUUCCAUGCAAUAAACUUUUCAAGAAAUCUCUACUUACUAAUAAAUUGCACAAUUCUACCAAUAGCUAACACAGGAAAAAUAGUGAUGGCAUCACUGUAACUUGUCUGAACAUAAGAGAGAAAGAUCUCUAUACACUUUCAGUUCCACAAUUACCAAUUAAAUAAAACAUGCUAACAAUUAUUUAUUGUGCCCCCCAAUGCUCAAAAUGACUACUUUAGCAUGCACGUACCGCAGUAAAAAUGGUUUGCUGGUUGAUAUAUUCUAUAGCACAUAUAUAUAAAGAAGCAAUGCUUCAAAAAGUAUCUAUUACCCCUUUAAAAGACAAAAAAUAUCCCUCAAAGUAAAACAAACUAAUUUCAGCGAGGUUUCUACACUAACAAAUUAAUCAUGACAAAAAUUGACAGUAAAUGAGAUAAAUUCGCUUAGACACACCUCAACGACAUCAGGCCUGGAGCAUACUUUCUUCAAAUCAGCAAUCUUCAUCCUUCUUUGCAACUGCAAAUAGCGCAAGUAAGUAUUAAAACCGCACAAAUGUUCAAAAUUCCUAACAAAAAGGGAAUUCUAAAAACAAUUGUACUCAGCAGAUCAACCUUCUUUUUCUUAUUCGAUAGCUCGCCUUCCUUCUUCUGCUUUGCUUCCGGCUCUUCCUCCUCCUCCGAAUCCGAAUCCCCCUUCUUCUUCGCCGCAUCGGCUGCGGCCUCUUCCUUUUUCGCAUCAUCCUACAAGAAAUUAUACACACAAAGCGUCAGAGUAGUGAAACUCCACAUCAGAAAACUUCAAAUUUACACGAACCAAAACCUAGAAUACCUCUGCACCAGCGGCGGAAUCUUUGAAGCUAAACUUCGCAAACACGUUUCUAAAAUCCUCGAGAAGGCUCUCCUCCACCUCGGCCUUCUCCGGAACGUACUCGACCUCCACCGACACCUCCACCUAAACAACAAACAGGGGGGGUCAUCAAACACGAAAACCCUAAUCGAUCGAAACCCUAACAUCGGGCAACAAAAAGGGGAAGGGAUCGAUCCGAUCAUACCCUAGGGUUCGGAUCGGCGUUCUCCUUGGAGCUCCCGUCCUCGUCCUCCGCGUCGGCGUCGGCGGCGGAGGCGAGCUUGCUGCUGUUGUUGUUCUUCUUCUGCUUCCGCCUACGGCGGCGGCGCUCGCUGUCCCGGGCCUUCUUCUUGUCGGCGGAGCCGGAUCCGCCAUUGGAGAGGGGAUCGAGCUUAGGGUUUGGGUGGCGGGGGUGCUCCGCGGCGGUGGCUACUUCCGCCGCCGCCAUGGUCGCGGCGCUCGUGGCUCGUGGUUUGAGGGGGAAGGGGAAAAGGAGUCGGAGGGGGGAAGAGAGAGGGCGAGGGCGAUUUUCAGAGUGGAGAGCGUCGAGGAGUCGUAAAUAAAUAAAUAAAUCGUAAUAAAUCCGCGACGGAUUUUUUUUUUCUUUUUUUUAUUGCUUCGUUAAUAUUAAUAUAUUAAAAUAUAAGGUUAAUUUCAUAUAGGUCCGUAUAAAUAUAGUAAAUUACAAAUAUAUUCCUAUAAAGUUUAACUUUUGUAUAUUAUUCAUGCAAAAUUCUUAAUAUUUUUAAAUAUGUUCCUGCUGUUAGAAUCUGUCAGAAAAUUGUAGUUAACUAUAGGUUAAAUACUUAAUCAUGAUUAGUUAAUGAGGUGAAUUGAUCUUUUUACCUUUCUUCGAUUAACAGUUGAAGCUUAUGAAGGGACAUAUUUGUGAUGGCAAAAAAGUCAUUAUAUUUAUAAAAUAAACAGUGCUUUAACGGUAAUAAAUUGGAGAGACAUAUUUAAAAAUAUUGUGACUUUUACGGGAAUAAUAUAUAAAAGUUAAACUUUAUAGAGAUAAAUUUGUAAUUACUGUGUUUGUACUUUGUAGGGAAUUGUACAAAAUUAAUCCUAUUAAAAAAUAUAAAAGAGUCGGUUAAGCCCGACAUGUGCUCUAUUUUGCGGACGACGAUCGAGCCCAAUGAAUCUAAACCCGAAUCCAAAUUUUCAGAGUAGCAAUUUCGAUGUUGCAGUUUGGCUAAAUUAUUUUGUAACGUUUCAAUAGACCUAGUGAACGGGCGGGUUAGAUAAUCUGGUAGGUUAUUAUACCCAUAGGUUAUUAUAUAGACAUGGGUAGAAAUUUAUCUGUAAAUUUUAGAAUAGUCAAAUGUAGGUUAUCCGUAAGUUUUUUUUUUUUUUUUUUUUUUUUUGCUCAUAUACUUUCUAAAUACAAAACACAUAUAUAUAAUUUUUGAAAGUAUAAAAUAACUUAUUGUUUAAAAUAUCACAACAUACAAUGGCGAAUAUAAAAUUUUAAAGCGCAUAAAUUAUAUUAUAUAAAAGUAUUUUAUCAUUGUAAUUUUUGUAAUAUAAAAUUAAUAAAAUUUUCAUAAUUAUAUAGUCAAUAUCAUAAAAAUUAUAUAAUUUUAAUUUUAAAAAAUAUAUACGGUACCCGCGGGUUGCCCAAAAUGUCUACAACUCAACGGGUACUCACCCGUUUUUCGUAUAACUUUUUGGGUAGCAAAAACUAGUUUAAAUUUGAGGGUAAUCCGUGGGUACCCGGUACGGAUAGAGAUUGCUAGGCUUACGUUUCAAUAGUCUCAUAUUCGAUUUUAAAAGAAUUAUAUUAAAAAUAUAAGCAUCGGAGACUCUGGCAUUAAUAAAAAAAUUUAGGUAUUUUGAAUCGAUGACUUGUUUGGUGGGAAAGAGUGUGAGCGUAAACAAGUUAGUUCUACUGGGUUGGAUAGUUAAAGUUACAAUAAAAAACUAAACACAACGAAUAAAUCAAGUUAAAAACAUUAACCUACACCUUUGAUAAAAGACGCCAAAUAAUGCGAGCGUCUUAUUCACUUUCCUACACCCACCUAUGCGGCUUCUUCACCGGCGCCAAAAUCAUUGUUAGAGCUUAAGAAUUAUCAGGCACCCUAUAUUUACUGUUCAAGCCCUCCACCGUCCUUGUCUUUGGCAUCUCCACCUAGUCAAAAGUGUUAUAUCUUCGAUGAGGUUGCAUGAGUUAAUGCCGUACCGGACCGAUGCAACACAGCUGCACAGGAACUUAGGAGCAGAAUUCGCCCUUUUUUUUUUGAGAGAGAGAAGAUAGCAUGCUACCGCUUCAUUCAUAAAGAAUGUGAACUAAGCAACAUACUGAGACAACUAGGCCUCGGAAGAAAAAAAAAAAAAAAAACCAAAAAUAAAACACUAAACUAAGUACAGAACUCCAUCUACAAAUAUCUAAGUUCACAGGCCUGCCGCAGCAAUUGGCUCGAGUUACGUUUUUUAUGCUCGAACACUUUCAUAUUACGCUCCAACCAAAUAGUCCACCACAGGGUGGCGAUAGUAGUAAGCUCCAAACGCCCUAUAACACCACCUUUGAGUCUGCUGCACCCCCAAAGCCCAGUCACCGAAGUGCAGUUAACUAAAGAAUAUUUAUUAGACAACUGACUUUCCAGUAGUGCACAAGUAAACUCGCACCCCACAAAAAGGUGGUCAACCGUCUCCGGCUGAAGAGAACACAGGACACAGACGAGUUCACCAUUCCAGCCCCUUUUCAGGAGAUUGUUCUUUGUCAGUACCUUGCGCUUUAAGACGAGCCAUACGAAGAUUUUGACCUUCAGAGGAAUUCUAGUCAUCCAUAGCUGAGAGUAGCUGUUCUCUUUGACCCCACCAUCUUGUAAGAAUUUGUUGAGGGAGUUAACUAUAAACAUCUCAGAGUGCGUCCAUCUCCAUUUGAUGACAUCUGAAGUGGCUGAUAACAUCACGUUCGAUGGUGAGUCUUUCAGCUUCAAGAUCGACUCUCUAUCGGCUUGCGAGCUAGGUUCGUAAUCCGCCAAAAUUUUAUGCCACCUCCACCCACUACGACCGUAGCAUUCCUUCACCCUAUAAUUACGGCUCUGCACGGCAUUAGUUAAGUUGGGGUAACAUGAUCGUAGGGUAGAUCCUUCGACCCAGAUGUCCGACCAGAAGUUAGUACUGUGACCGUCCCCUAUCGAGAAGGAGAUUCCACACUUCAAUAGAGCCCUAUUUGCUAAGACGUUCCGCCACCAUUGAGAGUAUGGUCUGAAGGAGGCACCUUCCCCGAGGGGUCUACGCCUGGAGUAGUAAGUGCCAUUCAGAAGGGGUCGCCGCUGUUUGUAAGAACCUAAAAGGUAUCGCCACCAUCAUUCACUAAAAGGGCUACAUUCAGAUCAUCUAGAUCCAAAACUCCUAAUCCUCCACUCUUUCUACUUCUACACACAGACUUCCAAUUCACCAAACAAUGUCCUCUGGCGACUAGAGAUCGACACUUCUAAAAAAAAGCUCGUCGCAAGAUGUCGAUGCGGCGCAGAACCCAUUUAGGCGCUCUAAAGACCGACAAAAAGUAAAGAGGCAAAUUCGAUAGCACCAAGUUAACCAAGACAAGUCUUCCACCUUGGGAGAGGAGUUUUGCUUGCCACCCUCCAACCCGUCUCUCAACACGCUCAAUGAUAGGCCACCAGUCCUCUUUUCGAAGAAGUCUGUUUGAGAGGGGUAAGCCGAGAUACCGGAUCGGGAGAGAACCUAGUUUACAUCCUAAAACUUCGGCGAGCCUUACUCCUUGAUCUUCACGACUACCCAGAUAAAGAAGCUCUGAUUUAUCUCGAUUAAUCUUCAGCCCGGAUGCCCACUCGUAAAGUUGCCAAACAAAAAGGAGAUUUCUAACUUGCCUACGUUUAGCCUCGCAAAAGAAGAUAGUAUCGUCGGCGUACUGGAUAAUUGCAACCUUGGAGGUCGCAGUGGGUCCAAGCCCCAUCAACAGGUUGUUACAUACAGCUCUAUUCGUCACUCUUGCUGGUCCUUCUGCAACCAGAAGGAAGAGAUAGGGGGAUAGUGGGUCCCCUUGUCGAAGCCCUCUUUUUGUUUUGAUCCAUUUGGAUGGAGCCCCAUUCACUAGAAUAGCAACUUUAGCAUUAAAAAUACACUGAUCAAUCCAGCCACACCACUUGUUGCUCGCCCCCAGCCAUAUCAUGACCUUUCUUAGAAAUCCCCAGCUCACUUUAUUGUAUGCCUUCUCGAAAUCAGCUUUAACUCCAACACAUUCAACCCCAGCUUUCGAGCACCAGUUGACAAUCUCGCUAGCGGUAAUGAAAGAGUCCAGACUAAUUCGGCCUUUAAGAAAGGCCGCUUAGGAUGGAGAAACAAUCUCAUGCAUCACCCCUUCAAGUCUGUUCGCGAGUACUUUGGAUAAGAUUUUCUAUACACCGUUAAUGAGACUGAUAGGUCUAAAGUCAUUAGUCGAGUUAGCUCCCUCUUUUUUGGGUACAAAGCAGAUAUAGGAGUAGUCCAUAGGUCUAGAAUUUAAGUUCCUAUUGUACAGAUCACAAAAAAUACCAAAAAGAUCAUCUUUGAUCACAUCCCAGAAACGUUGAAAAAACCUCAAGUUGAAACCGUCAGGCCCCAGAGCUUUGUCUCCCCUAAGCUGAAAGGUGGCCUUUUUAAUUUCUUCUAGUGAGAAAUGAGAGGUAAGUCCGUCAUUGCUCAAGCUGGGACUACUAGAAAAAAGACUGCUCCAGUCCCCAAUCGAUGUACAGUGGGUAGUUGUAUUCGGGGCAAAGAUGUCCUUGAAUUUUCUAUAAAAGUAAUCCUUUUUUUUUCCUCCUCUCUAAAGAUAGAUCUACCGUCGUCUACCAGCACGAGUAUGGCAUUAGUCUGUCUUCUUCCGUUAGCGAUCGCGUGGAAGUAAGUCGUGUUACCAUCCCCUUACUUUAACCAUUGCUGCCUAGCUUUGGACUUCCAUAGCACCUCCUCGUCAGCUAUUACAUUCGACAGAUUAAGCUUAAGCUGUUUUCGAGUGUCAAGCUGUUGGACCAUCAAGUUUUCAGAUUCUUCGAGAAUGUCCAACUUUUGUAUUUCUUCAGCCAUGGCCUUCUUUGUUUUGGUGAUGUUGUAGUAGUGUGUAGAGCACCAUUCUUUAAUCCUCUUACGACAGUGGUGGAGUUUGGCUACAAAAGUGAGGGCGCUGGUAUUCUGUGGUUGUACUUCAGUCUACCAAGAUGGUACCAUAUUGCAAAAGUCCUCACGAGCUAACCAGAUCUCUUCAAAUCUGAACGUACGACCAAAUUUUCUAUCAUAGGAGGACAACAAGAUCGGCGUGUGGUCUGAAGUGAUUCUCGGCAAUGCCAACACUUUAGUUAGGGGGAAAGUCUGGUCCCACUCGGUGGAAAUUAGGAAGCGGUCCAGCUUAGCCAGGGUGGGAUCGCUCUGCAUGUUGGACCCAGUGUAAUUUUGAUUCCCCAUUGGCAAGUCGAUCAAAUCCAGAUCGUUGAUUAGGUUAGAGAAUAAGGACAUUACUUUUCUACUCCAAUUCCUACCCUUUUUCUCCUGCUUAUUGCGAGUUAGGUUGAAGUCCCCACACAUCACCCAUAGGCCCGGGCAAACGCUUUUAAGGGCUGCAAGUUCACUACAAAAAUUCUCUUUUCCUUCCCAAGUCGAAGGUCCGUAAACAUUUGUAAGAAAAAAGUGAGUGCCACUGGAUAAGUGUUUCAAUCGGAUAGUAAGAGAGUAAGUACGUAUAAGGACUUCGCUACAGCAAAAGUCUUUGGCACACCAACAGGUAACAAGCCCACCCGAAGCUCCAUUCACCCUAAUGAAGUGACAUUUGUCGAAAAAGGAGCCGACAAAAGAACGUAAGAAAGAUCGUGAGACCUCUUCCACUUUAGUUUCUUGGAAACACAGGACAUACACCUUGAGCUUAGAGACUACACACUUAACUAGGCCUCUUUUUCUAGGAUCGUUCAGACCCCUGACAUUUCAACUACAGAUUUGAAGCAUAGGGAAAUGGUAAGUCGACUACACCGGAACGGACCACCCAAACCAGCCGGCGGUCUAAGAAGGCACACACAAGAAUUCCAAGAAAUUGUGCACGUCAUCGUCUUCCAAAGUUACACCGCAUUUCCCACUUUUUCUCUUGAUCUUCCUGCAGGUUAACGUACACUCUUUGAUGGGCUGGUUGCCAGAGUACACCCUCUGUGGGAAAGCAUCCGCCCCUUCCUUUAGAACAGCUUUACGGGCUAUAGCUCUCACCGAGGUAGGUUCGAUCGCUUUUUUUGCGAGAUAGUUGCUCUUCCUAGGUGUCGCCAAGCUGGGAGCAGGAGUAGCAUCUCGUAAAAAGGAGCUAAGAAUCGAGGCGUUCCGAGGGGCAAAAGAAGCAUCUCCCGUAGAGAAGGUACGAAGCGAGACAGUCCGAGGAGCAACCUCUUCAGAUCGAGCACCAUCUGUGCCUUGUCGCAGUUCUUGAUGACCUAGAGGUUCAACCUGCUCGAAAGCAGUCCACACACCACCCGAAAUCAGACCAGGCACACACAACUCUAAUAAACCCAACACCCGUCUUACAUCAGGGCCCUGGGUCUAAAAAAAAAAAGCCAAGAUUAGGGCCAAAAAGCUGGGUCGGAUCACAGAGCCCGAGUAGAACAGGUUCGAUAGGUUAGGAAGUUCAAGAGUGGGCCACAACACAAUAGGGCCCAUCCUGACAGCUCCAUGCCUGCAAAGAAAAGGAAGGUACAAAGGAUCCGGGCUUGGAUUUUCAUAUACAGAGGCUCGAGAGAGUCCCCAAAACGAUUGCCAGUCUUCCUUGGAUGCGACACCCGAGAAGGGGUCUCCAAAUGUGAAAACUCUUCAAACAGACCAGGAUGCCUCAGUCCCUGUGGCAACGACAAAACAGAAUGGUCUAGAACUCGAGGCGGUGGAUUCCUGGUGAUAGGGUACCCACAACGAGCAAGGCCAUCACAGUCGCUGAGAUCUUGGCUGGUGGGAGCCCGAAACCGCCCUCGAUCGUGCAACUCGGCCGAGGCAGACAGGUACAUCGCAUUCAAAAAUUUGCUAAAACAGACCAGCUUGCGAUUCCCGAGUUGCUCCAAGGACUGCUGGGAAGAUUCAGCCUGGGGUCGCUGGGAAGAUCUGACAGAAGGCACAGAGAUUUGUACACUAGUCAAAAAGUCUACCGUGUAAUCGGGUGGUACCAUCACGCCGUCCGUCGACGAUACAAUCGGGGCUUCUUCGGGAUUUGGCGGCGAUAGGUGACGGCCUUGAAUCUCAGCAGGAAACGACCGCCUUCUAUCUCUGAUCUCUGAAGAAUUCUAGGUAUCGUCUUGUCCAGUAUCGGCACUAUCUUUAGAAACAUUGUCGCCCAAAGGUGCACCACGAUUAUUGACCUGUCUGCCCAUCUACUGCCCUAGAGGAUCAGUUUGGUCUCCCCCUUUGUUUGGGUUGCCUCCUGCAAAAGGGAUGCCGUGGUCGUCCCCACCGAAAGGGGCUGUGCUUUCCAGCUGAACUUCAACGGAGACUAUAAGAUCACCCAUGGUGAGAGAGAGGUUCUCAGGAAUGUCGACCGGGUCCUCACAGCUACUUGACAUCUAAAGCAUAUUAGGUCGAGGACAUUGAGACUAUUGUUAUCUACUUUAAGGUAGCGUCCGAACCCAUUAACGAUUGAGGAUACCCUGGACUCAGACCAACAUUCGAAGGGUAAGUUUACCAGCUUGAUCCAAGCUUUAUACUUGAGUCGAGAGCGGAAUGCAUUCUUGUAUGGGUUCCAAGAAAAGCACCGAAGUUUGUAGUGAGACAAGUAGAUUAUCCUCCUUCUAACAAGAUCCCCAGAAUGCACCCAUUGUGGAAGGCAGAUAACAUAGUCCGUCUCCCGGUACCGAGCGACGUGGAAGUCAUUGGAGAAACCACCAAACUGGUUGGCGAAAUCGGACGCAAUCAUAUCUUGUGGAAAGUGACCGAGAUUUGUGGUCCCAAUGACGUUGGCGAGGAUAGCGUUCCUACAUUGCUGCUGUCUGGAGUGGUAGCCUUUCGAAAAGGGAACGAACGCCUUCAAGGAUAGGGGUCUGAAUCGCAAUGCUCUCUGCAUGUUUGAUAGUUCCCGGCUUCUACGUACGCGGUAGUUGCAGGUGGGAUGACCAAACUUGUAACACCUGGAGCACCGAAACGGCUCUCUACACUCACCAAUCUGGUGAUCUGUCGCCAAACACCUAAAGCACCUUCUCUUUCGGACGGAAGAUAAAGGAGGAGGGCGAAAGGUGCUCUUAUGCUUAGUGGAAGAGGGAGAGCUUGCUGGGUGAGAGGGGGUCUUGAGGAGAGCAUCUUUAUAAGACAACUUGUGGGGGAGCUCCUGCGAGGGCUCUUUCUUCCUCCAAUGGAUCCGCGAGCGUCCCUCCUUAGAAGGUGAAGGAGAAGAGGGAAGUCUACUAGACCCAAUGGACGCAGCAGGUAGAUCUCCUUCGAAGGGACAGCUCGACGAAAGGAAUCCACUUUUAUGGUCCGCCCAGGUAAGUUUUAACUUUGACUUUGUCUUCUUGCCAUUGUUAUCACUUAUCCUCCUACCAACCUUAGAUUCCUCGGAUUUCUUCUGAAGCGGCAGAGUUCUUGAGUUUGUCUUCUUGCAGGUGGAAGUAUUUGCCUCGUUGCCAGCUUUAGACUCCUUAGCUGAGAAGUCCAGCCCCCGACUCUUGCCUUUUAGUUGGAAGAAUCGCCUCUCCAGCUCCGAGUCCAUUUUUCGCGAUGUGGGCGAGGAUCUGCGACGAAGAUGAGGGACUUCGAUUUGGGGGAGCUGGCCCUUCGAUGGCGUGGAAGAGGGAGACAAAGCUCAAGCUCUACCCCCGAUCUCGUCGCUCGAUCGAUGGUGGUGGUCCGACGAGCUCCUUGCCGCUCGAUCGAUGAAGGCGGCGGCUGGCUUGGGGCGUGGAGGCGGGGGCGACUAGGGCUUCGCAGUGAGGCGGAGGCGGCGUGAGGCGGCUUGGGGUGCGGAGACGGCGGCGGCUAGGGCUUUGACGGCGUGGUCCUUCGGCAGCGUGAGGCGGCAUGGGGCGUGGAGACGGCAGCGUCGGCUAGGGCUUCGGCGGCUAGGGCUUGGGGCGUGGUCCAUCCCUCCCUCUCUCUCUCUCCUGUUAAAGUCUCCUUUAGGAAGGAGAGUGAAAGCGAAUUCGGCUCCACGCGUCAACCCUGUUCACGUGUGCCCACAGCUACGUGACGGUAGCCCUCCGCCAAGGAAAACGUGAACCGCCCAUGCUUUAAACUCACAUGUGUCGGUGAGGCGCCAUGGGGUUAGUGUCGCCUGUUCAAGUUUCACCACCGCCUUUUGCGGCAUUACAAGUGCAGCGACCCUCCCUGUUUACUUCAAUGGUCGUCUGAGGCCGCAGUUAAGAAAAAUCAAAAUAUCUUGAAGGUGGAAAAAGAAAAAUAUUUGCCGCUGUAUCCAAAAAUGUUAAUUUUAAAAAUCAGUUUGUAUUAUUAAUACUCUUAAUGACAUAGGAGGAGUUGUUAGAGCAGCCAAAUCCGUUGCGGCACAUUCCAUGCCUUCGAGAAUAACCUUGUUUGUACCUUCAUUGUAGAUUUAGCUACACUUGAUGUGGAGCAGAAGCGAGCGAAGGCAAGCCUCACAGAUUUUAGAAAAUUCAAUCCGCCAAAGUUUAAUGGAGAAGCUAUAGACUCAUGGGCAGUGGAAGCGAGGGUCUAUUCAAUGGAGAAGCUUUUUGAGGACUUUGUUCAUUGUAGACUAGUUUGUUUCAAUCUGACCAAUAUGCAAUAUAGAGUAGGAGGUAAUCAAAUACUACUAAGUAGAUGUCCAUGUCUCACCAUAAAGUUCAAUACCUUGACUACAUCAACACGCUAUUUGGAAAAGAAAGGGUCACUAACAUGCAUAAGAGCCAUACUCACAUAUACUACAUAAAGCAUACAUUAGAGGAGUAGGGCUACUAUACUUUUAUGAGUAUUGGGCACUUCGUACUCAUAAGUUGUUUUUGAUGAUGGAGCUUCUGAAUCGACGAUCCACCCCGUUAAAUAUGAUCUAGAGUAUUUGAAACUUCUAGAGAAUAAAUUUCGUAAUUUUUCAAAAUCAUAGUAAAGUCCAUCAAGCAGGCAUAAAAUGAAUGGUCAAAAUCAAACGACGUCAUAAAAAUGGAUGAUCGGAUACUUCAAUUUAAGAUCGGAGUUAUUGAUCUUUAUCUAGGUAGUGAAUAGAAAUUUCUAUCAAAAAUUCAACCUAUUCCGAUUCUUUUCCACCGUUAAACUAGCAAAUAUUUCAUACUGGCCGUUAAAAAUUGUCAAUUUUGUGAGCUUUUGAUCGUAAGGUAAAUGAUGUCGAAAAUUAUGAAAUUUGAUUUCUAGAAGUUUUAAAUGCUCUAGAAAAUAUUUAACGGUAUGAAUCGUCGAUUCGGAAGCUCUAUCAUCGAAAACAACUUAUGAGUACGAAGGCGAUCGUACUCAUAAGAGUAUAGUAGUCGGACUCUACAUUAGAGAAUAUACAAUCAACAUGCAUCUAGUGAAAUGCCAUAUAUUUUAUAUCAACAAUGAGAGUUCCUGAUGACAUAUUUAUCAAGGAAUAAAGAUCAAUCGAGAAGUAGAUGAUAUAAAAGGAGUUCACCGAUUUCGAUUAGGUUGAACCAACCACAUAGUUGCUGAAAUAUCUUCAUUUCCUCCAUGAAAGUUGUUGUGUCCUCUCUUCUAAUCCUAAGAGAUUUUUUUCAAGUGAUAAAAUUCUCCAAAAAUCAUAUAGAAAUUAAGUAAAAAAUAUUUUAGCUUAGAAAAUCCUUGAAAUUCCUCUAAAUCAAGUUGUUGGAAGUUCCUUUACAACCUACGAGAGGGUUUUUAAUCCAUCAAUUUCACCUAUAGAACUCUACAACCCAAAACCCCCCAAAAAUAAUCUUAAAAAUCUCUACUCAUGUCUCCCCAUUCUAUCAAGAGAAACAUAGAUAAAGUGGACUUCUUCUCCCUCUCUAGCAGCUUCCUCUUGAUGCCUUUGACCUUCCCCAAGCACCUAAGGAGCUGGAUCACCAAGCUCCAACAAUAGAGAAAGUGGUUAUUCUAGAGAGAGAAAAAAAAGAGAGAGAAAAAAAAAUACAGAGGAGAUUAGGGUUUGGAUGGUGAAAAAGGUAUUUAUAGAAGUGUUAUAUUUGCACAUAAACAUUUCCAACAUUUCUAAUUUGAGAAGAAAUGAACUCAGCCUUGUUGCCAGGUUUCGAGUCCCCGCUCAAUUUUCGAGGGCCGAACCUCACGUAGCUGCAUUUGGUCCGUAGCCCGGACACCCGACCAGUUCGCCCGAAACAUAUUUUGGGCACCAACAGGGGAAACCGAGCUCAGUUUCAGGCUCAAGUUUGCUCUUUAGAAGAGUGUCCAAAAGUUUUGGGCACUGCAUUAGAUUGUACUAAACCAUUUCGGGUGCCUGAAUCGCUGUUUCGGGUGUUCGUAAGGACUAGAGCUCAGUUUUCUUCUCUUUCGGAACUUCGUUUUGGUCUGAAUUGAUUUCAACUUGAUCCAAACUCAAUCUAGACUUCUUUGAACCAAAUUUAAUCAUGUCUAGCAUGACUUAGUCCAUAUUUUAUCAAUUUAGGCAAAGUUGAGUACAUUAUAGAGUUCAACGAGUAAUUUGCUUGUGAGGGUCACGCCCUACAUGCAUGCCUUGGCCUUUGGAGGUGUAGCCACGUAGCUAUGUGAUUGUUCGAGCCGCCUAUUGUUGCGAGCCAAAGUGGGUUCAUAUUUGAUUACUCGACAUCCUACCAGGCAAGGCAAGCUUUGCUGGGCUAUGAGUUGGUCGGUGUAAUUGAGUAAUAUGGACAAGAGUAAAUCACAAUAAGACUUGAUUGCAUAGUAAAGCCAUCAUUCAUAGGCAUAAUAGUAGUAUCCUAUUAGUUGUUGAUAGUUCGGUGGGGGAUCAUGGCAAGGAAGUUGUGUAAUAGAUAGCUCAGUCCUUUUGGUGCAUUAUUAGAUGUGGAACCCUUUGUAUUAGGUUGUUAUAUUUUGAGAUGUAUGGAAAUACUUGUAUGUGAGUUUUUUUUUUUUUUUUUUUUUUUUGAUUAAACAAGGAUGAACCCUAUUUUACAGAAGGUUGAGAACGAAAAAAAAAAAAUUUCAUGAGUAACUGAACCUAAGCACACCCUCAGGCAUGAUACAAAGCAGAUCCUAAGGCUCCGUUUGGAUCGGGAAUUAGUAGGAACUAGUUAUACCGGGGAUAGGUACAAGUAUGAGUUUUUGUAGGAAUAAGGGUAUUUUUUUGUUUGGAUGAAAUUGUGAGUAUAAGCUGGAACUAGAAAAAUUGUGUUUGGAUGGUUUUUGGGAAUAAGAGGAAUAGUUGGUAGUUAUAAAUAGAAAAUAAUAAUAUUAUCCCUAUAAUUGAAUUUUAAACUUAUAAUUUUAAAUUUUAAAUUUUAACUUUUAAAUUUAAAUUAGAAAUUAAAAUUUUAAAUUUUAAUAUUAAAAAUAUUAAUUUUAAAUAUCAAAUUUUAAAUUUCAGACCAAAUUUAAAUUUCAAAGAUAUAAAAUAACAAAUUUAAAAUUUAAACGAGAUAAAAUUUAAAAUUUGAAACUUAAAUAUCAAAUUUAAAAUUUAAAAUUUUAAAUAUCAAAUUUAAAUUUUAAAUUGUAAUUUAUUAAUUAUAAUUAUAAAAUUAUAAAUUUUAAAAUAUAUCUCUCUCUCUCUUCUCUUCUCGUCUCCUUCUCUCUACUCAAUGUGGGUUGGAACAGCUUGGGAACAAGCUUGUUCAACGGGUGGGAACAAGUGUUCCCACAUAACGGGUUGUUACCUACAACCCGUUAUGGGUGGGAACACUUGUUCCACACCAUUUUUUUUUGUUUGGUUUGUGUAUUAAGGGGGGGAUAUCCCCCUUAUCCCCCCCUUUAUACCCGAGCCAAACGGAGUGUAAGUAUACUGUAUCGGCCACUAGCACAAACACAACUAGCACACCUAAUUGACAGAGGUAUCGAACACUAGUUUCCAAGAAGAUACAGUUUGUAUAAUACUUCUACCCAGAGUGUCGUAUCGGGAUUGCCGAUUGUCGAAUAUUCUUCUAUUUCGCUCCUUCCAGAUCUCCCAAUAGGCUGCUGCAAUUCCAAGGUCGAGUGUGGUUCGAUUUUCUCCUGAUACCAUCCGCCACAAUCGACGCCAUCGUGUUGCAAGUCCUUCAGACGUGGUGUUCCUCCAUGCAAGGUUGAAUGUGAGUCUGCCCAUUAACCGAUUCCCAGUGAAACUGCAUAGAUGCAGUUAUGCAUAAUAUGCUCGAUAGACUCCGCAUCGGAGUUGCAGAGAAUGCAAAUUGUCGAGCCCUGCCAUCCACGUUUGAGUAGGUUGUCGGCUGUCAGAAUUUUGUUUCUCUCAGCAAGCCAGAGGAAUAGCUUGACUCUGAGCGGAAUUUUGAGGUUCCACAGGAAAGGGAGGUUGCAGUUGUUGAUGACAUCAAAUUAACAUUAGAAAUUCUGCCGCGCCGUGCACCAAGAACCUUCCCGAGCUGUUCCAUCUCCAAGAUAGCGCAUCGUGUCUGUCGUUAGAAAGGGCUAAGUUGUUGGACACCACCGAUAACUCUUGAAGUUCUGUUAGCUCUUGUGGACUGCUAUGAGAGUUGAACCCCAGGUUAGACUAAUUUGAGAAGCGGUGAAACCAGGAACUAACCGUCAUAUUAGUAUUGACAGAAGCCGCAUAGAGGAUAGGAAAGCGAUUUCUUAGUGCUAUAUCUCCACACCAUCUCGCAGUCCAAAAGGGUGUUUCCUUACCAUCGCCGAGAAUAAAAUCAACCGAGGUGAAGAAUGGGGCGUAAAGUCUUAGCAUAUUUUUCUAGAUUGGACAACAACCAUAAGGAAUGGAGCUAGUAGUAGUUGUCGGUCUCCGUCUGUAGUGUUUCUGCUUCAAAAGUUGCACCCAUGGAAGAGUAUGGGAGGUGUGGAACUUCCACAGCCCCUUCAUCAAUAAGGCCGAGUUCGUAACGUUAAGCUUGUUAAUCCCGAUCCCCCCUACUCUUUUGGAACGACACACAUGAUCCCAAUUAGCGAGGCAAUGAAAACCGCUGAUAGAAGACUUUCCUUUCUAGAAGAAGCCUCGACGAAUCCUGUCAAUCGCUCGUGUCACCCAAACUGGAAGAGCAAAAGCGGAACAGAAAUAGACUGGCAAGGAGGAGAGAACCGAGUUAAGCAGAAUUAAGCGCCAUCCUCUAGAGAGAGUGGAACAUUUCCAACCGGACAAGCGUUUGUCUAUUUUCUCAAUGAUCGGCAGGUAAUCUGCUCGUUGAGGGGACUUGGGGGAGAGAGGUAAUCCAAGAUAUUGCAAAGGGAAAUGCUGCAAAGGACAACUAAAGAUAUUAGAUAAAGUAGCAGCUUGUUCCGUGGAGAAGUUGAUAGGAGACAAAGAGCUUUUGCCGAAGUUAAUUCUGAGCCCCGAGCUUGCGGAAAAAGCUUCAAGUAGUGUCCUGAUGAUAGCCGCAGAUCUGGUAGAGCCAUCAAAGAAAAGGAGGACGUCGUUCGCAAAUUGGAGUGUAUGAAUUUUAGCAUCUCCUAUGCUGACGGUUGGGAGAUAAUCAGAAAGGACAGCUUUCUCGAUUAGUCUGAAGAGCACAUCGAUGCAAAGGACGAAGAGAAGUGGAGAUAGAGGAUCUCCCUGCCUAAGCCCUCUUUUGCGGGGAAGCGACCUGCCAGGAUCACCGUUUAGGAGCACGGCCGAUGUGGUCGAACUCAGCAGAGCUGAGAUCCAACCAAUCCACUUGCCGCUAAAGCCCCUGGCAUUAAGAAGUUCAAAGAGGAAGCACCAGUUGAUGUGAUCAAAUUAAUGCUCGUUCGAAGUCAAUCUUUAAGAGGGCCGCUUGAUUUUUAGAGACAUGAAGAUGGUGGGUGAGGAUGUGUGCACAAUAGAAGUUGUCUAAAAUGUAACGGCCUUGAUGAAGGCUGCCUGGUAAGGGUUGAUGAGCUGAUUCAAGACAGAUUGUAGCCGGGUAGCCAAUACUUUGGAGAUUAUUUUGGCCAAGCUGUGGACUAAACUGAUCGGGCGUAGAUCGCUCGCCGUCAACACAGUGGGUUUCUUAGGAAUGGGAUAGAUCCAGCAGGUGCUGAUUCUACGUAGAUCCGAAGAGCCAUUAUAAAAACAGUCGAAGACUUCCAUGACGUCAUUCUUCAGAAGCGACUAGAAGCGGUGGUAGAAAAGCAAAGGGAAACCGUCCGGUCCCGGGGCCUUGUCCGGUGAACAAGAAAAAAUAGCCGACUUCACUUCUUCUACCGAAAAGGAAGCGUGAAGGGAGGAAAGGUCACAUCCUUCUUCAUCGAAGAUAGAAGAAAAGUUGAUAGUGGAGGUGGAGUUUUUGGAUUAUAUAUUUUGCUUGGAGAGUGUAACCUCGGUUGUAACAGAAUAAUUAUCUUUUUGCUUUUGAUAUCCAACUCUUAUGUUUUCUCAUAUAUACUUGUUACAUAUGAGUCGAAUGUAUUAGUUGUUAGUUGACACUUUGUAAGUACAGGGGUUAAUUCCUUGUACAUAUGGUAAGUCGUGCACAUGCCCGGGAAUGCUUCCGCUAUAGCUCAGAGCGUGACACUACUUCGCUUGCAAUAUUUUGAGUCUUUAAUUUUGAAAUUACUAAAUUCCACUACCAAAACGAUUUCUCUGUUGGGAAAAACAACUAAAUCGACAUAACGCUAUGCCGCUAUACGGAUCAAAUCUAACUUCUCAUCUGCAUAUUACUACCUUUUCCAUGAAUUAAUAAAACAAAAAAAAAAACAAAUAAGAUAUUUAUGCACACAAAAAGACUAUACAUCAUUAGAAGUAAUACUUGCUUAAAAUAAAACUCUAGGUGAAUCACCAAAGUUCACUCAUUUAACACUCUUCAAUUUUAUAUAUAUAUAUAUAUAUAUAUAUAUAUAUAUAUAUAUAUAUAUAUAUAUAUAUAUAUAUAUGCAAGAAUUAAUGUAGAUGCAUCAUCAAUCCCAAAAUAGAAACAAACUAAUUAGUGUAAUAUGGUAACCUUGUACACUCAUUGUAUAUACUCCAAUUUUGAUAAUAAGAGAUGCAAAGCCAGCUCAUCUAGUCAUUUUUUAAAAAGAAAAGUUAUUGCCUGCACCGAGUGUACGUAUCAUGCAACAUUAUUAGAAUCUACUGAUAUACAAAAAUUAAUAACUAUUUAUCAAUAAUAAUUAUUGAAAUUGUACUUAACCACUUAAAUAAAAAAAAAAUAUGCACUUUACUUUCCUAAAAAACUUAUAUCGUCAGCAUUUAACCUGUCAGAUAAAACAAAUUAUGAACUUCAUACCCCUUUAAGAAAAAUAAAUAAAUAAAAAAUGAAAGCAUAUUUGGUCAUUUCACUAUUUUUUUAACACUAUAAGCUAAAAAGUUUUAAUUUUUUGAGAGAAUGAUUAUUUGCAUUUUAGCCUUUAAAUUCUUAUAUUUUAUUUCUUUUUGAUACUGCAAGUACCGUAUGCCUUACAAAACACCAUGAGCCCCGAAUUUCAGCACACAUGGAUGUUCGUACCUUUGACCUCAUGAUCGGCUACCGAAUACCUUAUAAUGAAACUUCUACUAGUGGUUUAGUAGAUUGAUUUUGAAUUAAAUCACAUCUAAAUAUACAUAGUAAUUAAUGCACUAAGUGCAGGUAAUAAUUUUUCAUUACGUAUAGUAUUUUGUCUCAUAUGCAUAAACCAAACGUGAAACCUUUCCUGUUCUACUUCUUGCUCACUUUUUUAUGGUCUCAAUUCCCCUCACAUUACCUCAUACUCAUCUUCUUAGAAGAAAGGUAGAGGCAACAUGUCUCCAAGCUCUCUCAUCUCCACAAUGCAUAGCAUCUUAGAAGUGCUUUUGCUUUCGCUUCUGCUUCUGCUUUUGCUUCUUACGAAAGCUACGAAAGCUAGCCGUACAGAAGUAAAGAAAUUUCCGGGGUUCGAUGGCGAGCUUCCUUCCAAGCACUACGCGGGGUAAGAGUAAUAUUACUAGAAAAGAAUAGUAUCUGCAUGUUUUGCUAUAAUUGGAGUCUAUUUAGCAUCACACUGGUUUAGGGUUUUCUUCAAUCACAAUUAACUGCAAUUGAGUUUUUGGCAAAUCAGAAAGACUGAAGCUUCGAUUGUAGUGGGUGGGGAGGCAAAAUACGAUUUUGAAGCCCUUUUGAUCCAAUUAUAAAGAGUAGAUAUUGGAAAAUUUGAAAUAGUUUAUUGUAAAUAGCUCUAGAGAAAUAGCGAAAUCUGCCGGUUCGGAACUCGAUCACUUCUCAGAUAGGGGGACAAGAAUACCACUAGCCCAAGAUCUACACUACACUAGAGAAGGUAGGACAAGAGCAACGGAGAACUAAGUAACAACUUUUCUUUUUUUUGUUAAAUUACAGAAAACCCUUUGUCAAAAUCCGAUUUUUCACUUUUCUCUCCUGUCAUUUAAAAACCUACACUUUGUCCCCUUGUAAAAUAAAAAAUGUUCACAAGGGGGUACGGUGUGAACUGUGAUGAUAAAAUGACCAUUUUGUCCCUCAUCAUUUUGCCCCUCAUCUUAUUUACAGGAAAGAAGCCGAGGACAUUUUUGGUAUAAAAAAUUAUUAUAUAAUAAUAUUUUAUAAACGAAACCCUAACGGAUUACUAAUGGCAGGAGUAAAGUGAACAUUUUUCAUUUUACAAGGGGGCAGAGUGUAGGUUUUUAAAUGACAGGAGGGGAAAGUGAAAAAUCGGGUUUUGACAUGAGAGUUUUAUGUAAUUUGGCCCUUUUUUUUUAUUGAAAUAGAAAGACUCUUACACAUCUAAGCUAAGUCUACAAAGGUGGUUAAAUAUUACUAAGUGCAUGUGUUCUCAUAUAGAGUGCAUGAUUGCUGCUUGUAUAAACUAAUAAGGGAAUUGGUGGGUUCAAGAGAAUUGGCUCUUGACUCGAAGAUUUAAGAAAUAGGAAUAUGAAAGGGUGUAUAAAUGUUGGAAAAGAUGGCAUAAUUAUGAAUAGUUGUUGAGUAUUAGAAUACAUAUAUAGUUGAAGUCCGCAUGCAUGAAUGGUUUUGGAUCAUGUGAGUUGCAAGAAGAAAUUAUAAGAACGCAUGCAAGUACAUAAUUUACUUAAACAAAAGAAAAUAAAAUUCACUUUAAAAGUUUGACACUCACCUUUAAAGUGAGUUUUUGGAGAUGAUCCGAGCUUUCUAGUUUGAAUAGUCCUUUCGAAAGCGAUUUGGUGAAGGUAUCCACACAAUUGUCCUUGCUUUGAACAACCAAUACAUGAAUAAUGUUUUGAAAAACAUUCUCACGGAUGAAGUGAUGCUCUAUCUCAAUAUGGUUUGAGUGCACGUGACAAAUUGAUUGGAUGCAAGUUUUAUUGCACUUUGAUUGUCACCAUGAAUUGUGGUAGGAGUAGGAAUUGAUGAAUGACAUCCUCGACAAACAGCUGCACCCAAACACAUUCUUGAGCAGUCAAUGAUGAUGCCUUGUAUUUGGCCUUCAUAGUGAAGAGUGACACUGAGUCUUGUUUUUUGCUACACUAAAAGAUAGCCGUAGAUGCAUAUGUAAAUAUAUAGCCCGAUGAAGAUCGUCGAUCACCCAAAUCCCCUCUUGCAUCUGCAUAACCUUGCAAUAUAAAAGAAACUCCAUUCUUGAAAAGGAAGCCAAAAUCAAGAGUAUAAUAACCAUAUGUUAGUAUCUACUUUGCUAAUUCGAAGUGAGGCUUCCUGGGGAUUGCAUGUAAUGUCUCACAAGACCGACGACAAAUGCAACGUCUGAUCUUGUUAUAGUCAAGUAAAUAAGACUUCCAACAAGUGCCUAGUAUGGUUGAUGGUUUGGGAGAAGCUUGCCUUCAUCUUGCCAUAACUUUAUAUUGGUAUCAAGUGGAGUAGAGCAUCACUUCCCACUUAUUAUGCCAAACCUUCAAACAAUGUUUUGAGCAUAGCCUUUGAUGGAAGAAAAAUCUCAUUCUCCACUUUCUCCACCUCCAACCCAAGAAAAUGGUGAAGCUCACCUAAGUCCUUUAUUUCGAGCCAAAUAGAGAGCUUGACCCGAAGUCGUGCAAAUUCUCCAUUAGUAUAAUAUCGGUGAUGAUCAUGUCGUCCGCAUAAAAGAGAACAAUAAUAUGUAAACUCCCAACUUUCUUGAUAAACAAGCUAGAAUUGGAAUUAGAUGCAAACUAACCACGAAAUUCUAAAUACUCGGCAAUUUUACCGUGCUAUGCCCUUGGCGCUUGUUUCAACCCAUAAAGAGCCUUAUUGAGCAUGCAAACACUGGAUGAAUUUCCAAAAUAUAGUCCAGGGGUUGUUCUAUGUAGAUGUUUUUGUUAAUCUUACCUUAUAAGAAUACAUUCUUCAUGUCAAAUUGUCAUAGCUUUCAAUUAAGACUAGUGGCAAAAGAAAUCACCAUGCGAAUGAAAGUCAUUUAAGCAAUGGGGUUGGAGGUUUCUUCAUAAUCUUCACCAUACUUUGGUGAAAACCCUCUCGAUACAAGUCAAGCUUCGUUGUGCUUCACUUUGUAAACCCAUUUGUAAAUGAUUUGCUCCACAUCUCUAGAUUUUGGAAUAAGAUACCACAUUUCGUUCUUGAUAAUGCCCUCAUUUUUUCAUCCAUAGCAUUAUGCUAUUCUUUCACACCAUGUGCUUUUCUAAAAUAAGAAGAUUCAAGCUCAUCAAUAGGACAAGCAAUAUACCAGUAGGGAGCCAACUUCACAAUUUUCUUUUGUGAAUGCCGAAGUGAUAGCACCUCCUUUUCUUGAACUUCUACUUGAUGUUCUUCGUUAUCAUGAAUCCCCUUGGAUUUCGCUCCCCUUCCAACAUAGAAACCGAAGUAGCCAAUAGAGGAGCACUAGAGAGAACUCGCUUGUUUUUGCUUAAUUGAGGCACAGUCUCUACUUGCGUAUGACUCGUCACCUCCAUCAUUGAAGUGAAUUGAGAAAGGUAGUAAGAAGAUAACUCAUCAAAUACCACAUCCCUUAAGACCACAGACUUUUUAGCAAGAUUUAAAUGCCCAUCGGCACGGACUGUAUCUAUCGUGCCGUAUCGUGCCAACAAGAUAUAUCGGCACGAUACAGCCCCCGUGCCAAUGGCACAACUCAAAACCCUCUAUUCUUUAAAUUAGUAAGUAAUUUUCUCAAUAAAGUUCAAAAGAUUUGAUAAAAAUACGUAAUAAAAAGAUAAAAUAUUUUGUUGCUAAAGAAAAUAAAUAUUUCAUGCUAUUAUGUGUCGGCACAUAUGAAUUUUUUAUGACUGGCACGUAUCGGCACGACCCGGCACGCACCGUGCCAGCGAGUUUCCGGCACUACUCCGUGCCACGACACUUAAAUCCUUGCUUUUUAGUCUCUGGUUCCCUAUAUGCAGUUCCAUCCUUUCUUUCUUUUGACAUAGUUAAUGAAAACACACUUCUUAACUUUAGGAUAUUUGGAAAAUGAACAUAACAAGUAGAACCAAAAUCUUUAAGGUGCUUAACAUUAGGUUUCUCACGCACAUCAACUCAAAGGAAAACUUGAAGUUGCUUAACAUUAGGUAGUACACUGUUUUUGGGAACAUGGAACCCACCUAGAAGAAUAGCUCUAAGAUGGUAGAGAACGAUGCACUCGGACCUCCUCAACGGCACCCACUCCAAUAGGGAAUCCGACAAAAAACCCACAGCAAAAAUUCUAAAGAAUCCUGCUCCUAAAAUACAGUAGAUCCCUAUCAUCUAUUGUGAAAAUCAUGCCUUGAAAAUCCCAAUCAACUUAAUAAAAUAUUUGAUACCAAUCUUCAAUACAAUGUGAAGGAGAAAAUGGGCGUGUGUCGUCAAUCGUCUCCAGUCACCCCUUUCUCCCUCCUCUCUCUUUAGCAUGAAACGAAGGAUCGAAGUAGAGAAGAAGAAAUGACAAAGAAGAUCUUGUCCAAAAUAUGUAAGUCCACAAUGCAAAAAAGGCCCUCAGUGUAUCAAAUAUUCCAAUCUCAGCCAAAAUCUGAUGUUUUGGGCACCCGAAACCAUCUUUUGAGCGCUCAAAACCUCAAAUUCGAGGUAUUUCGGACAUACCCUCGUGCACUUGACUGACUGAUCUCGUUGUAAUUAUGCGUAGAACUAGUUUGGGCGCCCGGACCCUGCACCCGAAUUCUUGCUAAGUCACCUUGCACACAAGUGCACCCUGAAACAAGUCAAAUCAACUUCACCUACUUUUCGAACUGCUACAAUACCUAAAAUCGGGUGCCCACAUCAAGGCUUGGAACACAUAUGGAUCCACCCUAUUGGGCGCCCUCAAGUGAGGUCCAAAGUCACCUCAGCCCGAAAUAGUACUAUUGGGCGCCCUAAUCACUUUUCAGGCAUCCGAAUAGUCACCAAAUACUCAAAUUAGUCCAGAAUCUAGUUCUUGACUCGUUUACGCGUCAAUUUUGUGCUAAAACAAUUCCAACUUAGUUCAGAAUUCUAAAAACAUGUUAACUAAUAACUCAUACUACAACCUUGCCUAUUUGUCAAGAUUCAGUACACCACAAUUAUACUUUCUUGCCUUUUUGAUGAGUUCCCUAAACAAAAGAGCAUUUCAUAUAUUAGAACGGUAAAAUUUACUGAGAGGCGGACAUCGUUUCUCCUUCGCUUUUGAUUUUAUUGGAAGCUUCACUUUGUUUUCACUUGAGGACAUAUGUUGGAUGCUACCACCUGAAUUUCUUGAUUAUUUAGUAUUUUAUAGUGGACAAAUUUGGUUCACUUGGCUUUUGUCAUAACAAUUAUCUAGUAGCAUUUAUUACUUAAUCAUAUUUUUUUUACAGGUAUAUUACAGUUGGUAGCGAAUUUCCAAGAAGACAUAUAUACUACUAUUUUGCUCUUUCGGAAAGAAAUCCUAUUGAAGAUCCUAUUACUUUAUGGAUAAAUGGAGGUCCUGGAUGUUCAGCAUUUAGCGGACUUGUGCAGUUAAUGGGUAGGACCUGUAACUCAUAUUUUACUUAUUUUCUUUCUUUGUUUUCAUCAAUGUUCUAAAAACUAACUUAGCAAUCAAACUAGUAAUGUAAAAGGUUUAGAAGAGGUUUUAACCGGGUUGAAUCAUGGCGAACCAUAUUACAGAAGAUAGUUUUUUUUUCCCAUAUCGUACUGCUUCUAAAUUUAUAACCAUUCAUCAAUUUCGAUGGGUGGUUAGGGUGAGAGAGAGAGGAGAGAAAUUGGGGAGAAAUUGAGUGUCUUAAUUUCUCUUCUCUUUGAAUUUCUUCAUAAUUUUUCUUCUCUCUAUCAACCUAAUCGCCCAUUGAAAUUGAUAGAUGAUUAGGAAUUUAGGAGCACAAAGGCUGCUGUGCUCCUAAUAGCAUAGUAGCCAUGCUCUCUCUCUCUAGUAUGCUAAUAGCAUAGUAGCCCUGCUCUCUCUCUAGUAUGCUAAUAGCAUAGUAGCCCUGCUCUCUCUAAUAUGCUAAUAGCAUAGUAGCCCUGCUCUCUCUAGUAUACUAAUAAAAUUGAAUAUUUUCAUAUGAGCAUAAUUUGCUAUUUUACUCAUAACUAAUUAGAAUAUUAUAAUUUUUGUAUAGAUAUAUAAGACUAAAUUCCAAAAUGAUAAUAUUAUAUUAGAGAUAUUAAGUUGUUAAUAUCCGGGGAACAUUGUCAUUUUGCAUAAAAGUGCAUGAAUAAAAUUUAUUUGAUAUUUUUAAUCUUAAACUUACCAUAUUAACCCUUAAUUUUACAUUCACAAUAUCACAUGGCUUGAUUGAAUUGAUCAGGUCCCUUUAAGAUAAUGGAUAAUCCUAUUCAUGUUAAAGAUCUUGGAAUGAUUAAGCGAAAUCCUUUCUCAUGGACAAAGGUAUGUUAUACUUUAGGUUUUAUGCAUAAAGUAUUGUUACUAUUAUUUUACUGUAUUAAACAUUACAAAUAACAAAAAUACCAUUUCCUUUAUAAAACACAAAAAAUAUGUCAUUCUAUUAUUUUCUUAACCACUGAUAUAUCUGUAUUCUUUGCACAUUUGUAUGUUUUACAAUAAUUACAUUUGUAUUUGUCACGCCCGAGGCUUGACCGAAAGUAGCCCCAGUGGCGUACCAAGAUUUGCCAUGUGCAUAGGACUCCCCCUUCACACAUGACAAAUAACAAUAACCAAUUCAUGCAAGAAACAAGAGUUUCAUAUGAGUUGAGUAUCAAAGGAUAAUGCUACUAUUCUAUUACAACCAAGUUCCAAACAAACUACUACAAAUUUGAUCAAAAUAUUACAACUCUAUCAAAUGACAAAGUUCUACAUAGGGUUUCACCUCAAACAGUAACACAAAAUGAUGGUUGGGGAGCUAGCUAUAGCACAACACCCUUACCACAAUCACGUAUAGAGAAAGAAGGAACACUAAAAAUCAAGCAACAUAGGGGCGUGAGAACUACAUAAAAUAGUUUUUAAUAGAUACAAUCGCUAUGCAAAGUGCUUUAUCCACUAGAUCUAUUAGAAGCAUAAUACUGAAGAAUGAAAUACAAGGUACUAAAACAACAUAUACUUAUAACACGAAAAAUCAACUAUCGUGCCUCUACAAUAGCACAGUAUGUCAAUCAUUAUCUCUAUAUGCAUCAGUUUACAUGAUUAUAAGUUGACUACUCAUUAACUAAUUAUUUCGACCAAUACAAAGUCCAUUUAAGCUUGCAUCUUGCCUAAUUGGAUGUCAAACAGUUACACACGAAUCCAUAUCGAUAAUCAACAACUAGGGGAAGGGGAACAAUUGCAUUAUCACUAGACUAUACGUCCGAAGGACCACUACUUGUAAGAAGCAACCCUCACAAGUUAAGUGCUCAUUAAGCUCACCUUGGCUAUUGCAAACUAUAAUCACAUAAUCAACUUACUAUGCCACAAUGGAAACACAUAUGAAGGUUUUCUAUCUAUAUUAGCAUUUUGUUGAAUAUUUAAUGUGUGUUUUCAUGAUUCGAGCUCUACAUGUUAUAUUACAUAUCCAAUUGUUAUUACGCCACUAUGACAUGCUCUCUAAGUGUGUUUCAUCAAAGAGAAUAAAUAACCAACAAUUACAAAGCAUGCACAUAUAGAUCUUCCAUCAUGUUCGACCUUGGAAACAAGGGUUUUCUACUUAUGUCCAUAAAUCAUUAAAUAAUAGAAAAUUUCUACUUGAACUAAGAUUUCUCAUGCAACAUAAAGUAGAAAGAUAACUAUAAACAAGAGGUAGAAGAUAUAGAGAAAGAUCACCAAUUUCGGAGACUCAAAACCCAUCGAUUCUAAAGAGAAGAUCGUCGAAAAUCCAAAUGAAGUUGUUGAGUCCACCAAACAAUCCUAUAAGAGGGUUUGUAACCUAUCAAUUUUAUCUAGAAGUCUUCUUAAUAAAAGUUCCAAAUCUAAACCCUAAAAUCCAUGUUCCACAAAUUUUUUAAAAACUUUCAAAACUAGACUAUUUAAAGUUGAAAGGAACAAGAACUCACUUCUUCCAAACUCUAUUUUCUAGAUUCAAGUUUUUGGAUCUAGGGUUGGGCUCUCCAUGAACUCUUCCACCACUUUUCUUACUCCAACUCCAAGCAUGGGAUGAGGUUGAGCUUGCAAAAUGAGAGAGGAAGUGGAAGUGGAGAUUUAAGAGAGAAAACAAAUAGUGGAGAGAGGAAGGAAGAAGAAGAUAAUAGAGAAGGUGGAGAGAGUGUUUUCUUGCGAGAAAUAAGGGAAAGGGAAAGAGAGAUUAGGGUACUUAUAGUUGCAACAUUAUCCCCUCGAAAUCCAGCCUGUAUAUAGGUGAGUAACGAUACUCGACCUUGAGUACUAGAACUUCCUCUUAGUGCCGGUACACCUCGAAGUUCCACAAAACUCAAGAGUUACAACAACAAAAAUAGCUCAAGAAAUAUGGUACUCUACCUCGGGUACCGCUUCAGGCAGAGUUCAGCAGGACCUAAAUGUUCUCCCGUUGAAAUUCCUAUCAAGUACCGGUUGCCCCUAAACUUUAGUACAGGUAUUCAAGUUUUGCAAGAUAUCGUCACUGGGAGAUGUUUACUAUGGAAUUUUAUCAAAGAAAUAUCAGGGUUAAGAGAUUCACGUGAGAAAAUGAAAAGUUCGGGACACUUUAGAGAUUAUUUGGAUAGUCAUGGAACAGCAUAUAGAUUUCCCUUGUUACUAAGCAAAUGAUCCUAUUGCUAACAUUUUUCAUCAAAAUAUUCUCUCCAACCAUAGCUACACAGAAGAACUCUAAAAUUUCCAAAACGCAUUCCUCUCCUCCAAAUCUAAACUCAAACACAAAUUAAAAUCUACAUCUCACAGGAAAAACUCCUAACCUACCAUCCAAUUCCAAGAAAUGGGUUGAAUCGCGCAUUCUCCAUGCCUCCCAAACUUGGUAUUUAAACUUAGAACCAAAAAUAAUGGAUUAAAAAAAAAAGAAAAAAAAAACAAACCAGAAAACAAGUGGAUUCUUCUCGAGGCGUCGAUGUCAAAAUCCUCCUCCCUGCUUGCCUUCCUCCUUCGCCGCCGGAGACCGGGGAGUUGUUGCCGGUCUCCGGCAACAACUCGCCGAAGAAGGGUUUAGAAGGCGGUGCGCCGACUUGGAGGGACACGGUGGCGACGACGACGCGAGGAAGGCAUGUAUUCAAAAGAGGCGGGCAAACCUUUGUUUUGGGUGGGGGGAGAGAGUGGAGGGAGAUGAAAAGCCUAAUAAAAAAGGGGCAGGGGGAUUUUAAUAAUAAUUAAUUAGUAAGCUUUUGUUUUGUUUCCCGCCUUAUAAAUAGCGACCCUAAACCUAGUACCGAUAAUUUUUUUUUUUUUUAAAGAGAAAGAUAGUAUGCUAUCCGUUUCGUUUAUUUUAUUUAAAAAAAAAUUUAGCUGAAAAUAUAAAUUAAUUUGGAUUCGAACUUAGGUCUCGGGUACCAACCACCAAGCCCUUUUUGCCACUUGCGUUAGGGACGGUCGGUGCAUCAGUAAAAUUUUGACUGUAGAAAGCAUUGGCAUAGGCAUUUUUUUUUUUUGUAGUUCGGAGAAAUGGCCAACCUAUAGGUUUAGUUUUGGAACUUUAUUUUUCGUGCCAUUUUCAUACCAAAUCAGUUUCAAUUCAACUCAAUUCUUCCAAAACCUCACAAAUGGCAUCAAAGGCCAUUCUACACUGAAUCUUUGCAAUUUACAAAAUUUAGUAUACUACAAUUUUUUGCCAUUUUUUUUUCAUGAUUUUUGCAUCAAUUUUUAGUGGGGAGAAAGGAAAUGAGAAAGGGAAAGAGUGGUCCGCUGCGGAAAAAGAAAAGAUUAGCCCAUUUUGCAGGAAACACCUGCACGUAUGAGAAAUUGCAAUUUUAGUCCAAUUCUGACCUAAGGAGCUUAUUUGGAGUCUUUCAGAAUGUCAGUUUAGGCUCGAAUUGCACAGACACUCAACUAAAAUUAAUUAGUAGUAAUUUACUAUAACUUUUUGGAUUUGGACCACUUUUGACCACCAAAAAUCCUACCAAAUAGAAUUUUCUAUAGAUUAUGGAUACGCUUCAUUUUCACUGCUCGGAUAUCUGAAUGAUGGAACUUUAAAUUUAGUCCCAAUAAAUUAAAACCAGGGACUUCACAAAGUUUCAUAAUUUUUUCCACUGUUAAUUUUCAGCCGAAUUAUUAACAAUAAACAUUUUAGGGUACUUAAUUCAUAGAAAUUUUCAAAAUUUUCAUUUUCGUUUCGCUUUCGGCAGAAAUCAUUCUAGAUUAUCUUUUACUCUCCCGAACUCUUUCUAAUCAUAUGUCAUACAACUCUUAUAUUCAUUUUGUCUGUUUGGCUAAAGUUCUUUAUACUAUAAGUUUGUUAAAAGAUUGAUUCUUUAAUGUGUUUCAAGGUAUCCAGCAUAAUUUUCGUGGAUUCUCCAGCAGGGACAGGGUAUUCUUAUGCAGACAAAGAAGAAGAUUAUGUCACAGAUGACACUAAAACAGUAUUGGAUUUAUAUGACUUCAUAAUAAAUGUUAGAUUUAUGAUCAUUGUCUUAUUUCGUUAACAUUUCUUUGCAAUUUCGUCACAAAAAUAUUUUAGUAUUUCAUAUAAGUCCCUCAAAACUUGCUUUGCAUGAUAGUCCCUAAAUCAUCAUCAAUUGCCUUGCUAGUUCCCUAAUUUAUUCUUAAUAAUAUUUUUUAAGAAAUGUACUAAUACGUCACAAAAGUAUUUGGAGAAUAUAUAUAUAUAUAGAUGGUUAGAGAGNUUAGAGAGAAGAGAAUAGAGAAAAUAUACUAAAGGCAAAUGGGCAUUAUUCAUUUAGUCAGCUGGAUUAGAAAAACUUCGUAGUACUAGUACACACUAAUCGCAAUGGGGCUGGCAAUCCAGCUCGCUAUUGGUGGGCAGCUUGUGUUCGGCUCGAAAUUAACUCGAAACCGAUUGCUCAUUUAAUAAACAAGUUGAAUACGGUUGAAAUUUUAUCUCGAAAUCUUAACAAGCCGAGCACGAACUAGAGUCAACUCACUUAUGUUCAGCUCGAUAUAGCUUGAAUAUAUAUAUGUAUACAGGGCCUUCGGUAUUAUAGUCUCGUUUUCGAUCAUAGGAUGUUCAAAUCAACGAUCCACACUAUUAAAACUGAUAUAAGGUAUUUGAAAUUUUUAGAAAUAAAAUUUUAUAUUUUUUCUACAUAGUUACUUUAUGAUCAAACCAUUUCAAAUUUAUCAAUUCUCAAUAGUUACUAUGGCGAAUUUGCAGUUUAACGGUGUAGAAGAUUCUAAAUUUAUUCAAAUUUUGAUAGAAAAUAUUUUAAAUUAUCCAAAUCAAGGUCAACAUCCUUGAUCUUGAGUUCAAAAGUCCUAUCCUCAAAUUUUAAAGAUUAUUUAAUUUCCACCAUUCUUUUUACAUGAUUUAUUUACUGAGUAAACGAUGUUGAAAAAAAUUAAAAUUUUAUUCCUAAGAACUUCAUAUACCUCAGAUCAUAUUUGACGGUGUGGAUCUUUGAUUUGAAUACCCUAUGAUCGAAAACAAGACUAUAGUACAUGAGCUCCGAUACUAUAGAUAGUAUAGUAGCCUCAUUAUUUAUAUAUAUAUAUAUAUAUAGAGAGAGAGAGAGAGAGAGAGAGAGAGAGAGAGAGAGAGAGAGAAAGAGAGAGAGAGUGAGAGAGCAGGGCUACUACGACGCUAUUAGGAGCACAGUAACUUUUGUGCUCCUAAGUUCCUAACCAUCCAUUAAUUUCAAUGGGCAUUUAGGGUGAGAGAGAGAAAAAAAAUUAGGAAGAAAUUCAAAGAGAAGAAAUUCAAAUAGAAGAUAAAUUAAGACACUCAAUUUCUACCCAAUUUAUCUAGUUUGUUGUUUGCGAGCCAACUUGCGUUCGGCUCGUUAAUAAAUGAGACGAACAUGAGCUAGAUUUUUCAGCUCUAUAUUUUAACGAGCCAUGCAGCUCGUGUUCAGCUCGUUUAAUAAACGAACGAAUACGAGUCGGUCCUAACUCGCUUUUGUUUAGCUCAUUGAUAGCCCUAAAAUCACAGUGAUGUAAAAGACUAUCAUGCAAAUAGUAAACUUUGAGAAACCUGUGUGCAAGAAAAUAUGAUUUCAAGGACUGAUAUUUAAAAAAGAAUUUGUUUAAUAAGUGGAAUUGUUUAACUAAUAUUUUCGGUUUUUUCUUUUUAGUGGUUCUCCAAGUAUUCUGAGUUCAUCUUAAAUCCUUUCUACUUGGCUGGGUGCUCCUACAGUGGUGUGGUAGUGCCAAUGCUCGCACAAGAGAUAAUGAAUGGUAAACAUAUUUAAUGAUGCAUUACAUUCAACUCUUAUUUCAAAAGAUUUAGGCAAACAUAUACGAAAAUAAUCUAAAUUGUGGUCUCUUCAAAAGGAAAUUUGAAACUCGAACAAUUUUGAUUCUACUACUUGACGUUCGUUCAAUUAUUUUGUCCUGUAAUGUACCGAACUUUGGCUAAAGUGACAAAGUGCAGAUUAAAUCAUGAUAAAAGCGUGGUGUGUAGAUGUAUGGAUGCAUUGGGUGUGGACAAUAAUCUCAUAUCAAAUAAAUUGAAAGAUUGGGUAAUGCAAUCCAAUCUGUCGAACAUAUAGUAGUUAUUUUCAAAUAAGGGUGUGUUUGUUUGGCCGUAAACUAUACCGAAUUUACUUUUCGGCUUGAAAUAUUAUUUUUUGUGUGUUUGUUUAGCCGUAAAGAAAAUUUUCGAAAAACUAUUUUUAUAGAUUUGAGAAAAAUGGAGUGUUUUGUUUUCCACCGAUUUUCGACGGAAAACGAAAACUCAAGCUGCCUAAAUCCUUUUUCCUUCAUUUCUUUUCACCAAACUAAAUAAAUGUGAAUUUUUUCCUCUCAACCAAAUAAAUAUUCAUGAAAAAUUACUUCUUUUUUUUUCCUACAAACCAAAUAUUACGAAACAUAAAACUUUUUUUCCCACUAAAAAUAUUUUCUACAAAAAACCAUGGUUCACAGUUUUAUGUACGACCAAACACCCCGUAACCGAAAGUUUCUAUUAAAUCCACAUGCUUUAAAAGUUUUAUGAGUUUAGUGCACGCGAUGAAAUCUACAUUGCUUAUAUGAUGGUAACAACUAACAAUUUCUUUAAAAUUCGUGAUGUUUACAAUUUUUGUACAUGCAUACUUAUCUUUUGUCAGGAAAUGAAGAAGGUAUUAGAACGAAGUUAAACUUUAAGGUAUGUUUUAGAAUUUUUGUUUCCUAAGUUCCAAAAAAAAAAAAUUAAGUGAUAAAUCUCUAUCGUUUUUUCUCUAUAUUUUUUGACUUAUCCAAUCAUUUAUAUAUAUAUUUGGUGAUCUUAGGGUUACUCACUAGGAAACGCUGCAAUUGACAUAAACAUAGAGAAUAACGCAGCAGUGACUUAUGCAUAUCAGCUCGGACUCAUAUCAGAUGAGCUAUAUAAGGUCAUUUCUUUGUAAUCAAAUAAUGAUACUACAUUCAUUUAUGACAUUUUAUUUUUAUUUUUAUUCAUAUUGUUGGUUUAAAUGGGUCAGCAUUCUAUCCUGUAGUGGGAGGUUAGGUUAAUUAGGUUGAGUUAUAUUCCAAAUGACUAGGGGCGAAUUGGGCCGAAUCACAAUAGAAACCCAUUGGCGUUGUGUUUAUACACUUUUAAGUGAAUUAGCUAUAUAUUUCUAACAAGAGUAAUGCUUCUAUACUUUUCUUUUUUUGGUUACCGUUCAUUCACGCGUAUUCAACGGCUCAGAUUUAGUUUUUUUUUAAAUUGUGACCUGCAAUAGCAGGUCACUUUGGGACAGGUACCGGUUACCAGGUACCUCAAAAAAGAAUAUUUUUGUCUUUUAAUACAUGAGCAAUUUAGUCAUUUUACAUCUACUAUAUUUUCAAAAUUUUUAUUUUUUCUUUGUUUCCUUUUUCUCUCUCUAUCUUUCCUUUCAUAAUUUAGCAUUUUAUAUAAGAAAAUUUUCAAAUGAUUUGACAAUAUGAUCAUUGAAUUUAAACUUUAAAUAGUAAUAUGAAAUUCCUCUAAUUUAAAUUUCACUUUUAAAUUUAAAAUUUAAUAUUAUAUUCAAAUUUAUAUUUUAAAAAUUUAAGUUUCAUAUAAAUACUUUGAAAUAUGGUAAACAGAAAUAAUUGUUUGAAUUCUAGUCUUCUGGUUUAGGUUUGGUUUUGGGUUUCGAAAAAUUGGUCAGUUUUGAAUUUGGAUAUGGAUUUUUGAAAUCCGUCGAGUUCGGAAAUAAGUUUUGUGAUUGUUAGUCAGAUUCGAAUUCAAAUUCCUAACUAUUUUUUUUCUCACCAAUAAUUCUAAUCUUUUUAAUUUAUAUGUUUAAAAUUAUAUUUAAAAUAUUUAUUAGCUCUAACAGUUAAAUUAUCAUUCUGUUUAAAAUAUUUAUUAUCUUUACCGGUUCCAAAUUGUUCUUAAUGUUAUUCGGUUCAAUAGGUUAAAAUCAGAUUCUUGAUAGAAUAGGUCAAAGUCUGAUCAGUCAAAUCAAUCGGUUCAAUCUAGUUUUUAAAUCAUUGAAUUUAAAAUUUAAAUAGUAAUAUGAAAUUCCUCUAGAGAAAUCUAGUUGUAGAAAUCUUACUCUCUAAGUUUUUUAUGCAUUACGUUUUAAACUGGUGCGAAUAAACUGUAUUUUAAAUCUUGGUAGAAAUUUAGUUUUUAAAUAGUAAUAUGAAAUUCCUCUAAUUUAAAUUUCACUUUUAAAUUUUAAGUAUUUAAUUUUUAAAAUUUAAAUUCAUCGUAUUUAGAAAUAAAACUAUUUCUAAAAUUUCUAUAAUUUAAAUUAAUGCAUAAUUUGAGAAACACUAAAACAUUUAAAGUAGAUUCCUAAAUUAAUGCCUAAUAAUUGCAUAAAUUUGGUUAAUCAAUUAAUUUCCUAAAUUAGUGUUAAUUAAUGCAUAAAUUUAGGACCUCAAUUAAUUAAAAGUUUCUUUAAAUAUUGUAUUAUUUAAUUACCAAACUAACCUUGAAUAAAAUAAUCCUUUUACCUGCUAAGUAUUAAAGUUACAUUUUUACCCUCUAUUAAUCAACGGUUAAGAUCUUUUUUAUUUUUUUUUUAAAAAAGUACCGAAUCAUUUCUCUUCUAACAAUUAGAGCCUUUGGGAUUAAUGGUUAAUGCCAACGAUUCGACGAGUGAUAUUAGAGCUAGAGGUCACGGAUUCGAUGGCCAGCAUCUUGUCUUAUAACGGGAGGUCAGGUUAGGUCGAGCCAUGUUCAAAAUAGCGUGAGGUUGGUUGGGCCGAGUUACAAUCAAAACCCGACUCGUGGGUGUGCUAUGACUAUACGCUUUAAGUGAAUUGGUAGUAUAUUUCUAACAGCAAGAGCUUUUGGGAUUAAUGGUUAGCGUCUACGAUCCGACACACAUCACCAUUACUUUUUUCUCUAUUAAUAAGAAAAAUAAUUUCAAAUCCAUUUAAAUUUUUCUAAUUUUAAAUUGUCAUAUUAAAUUUAAAAAGCUACGACUUACUAUAUGAACAAUAAUUUGUUAGAAUCAACCACACAAUGUGAAUUUGUUACGUGGUCUAUUGAGGGUUAGAAACUUAGCAAAAAUUCAUUCUAGAUAGUAAAUUAAAACAAAUUGAUUAUUCACAUAAUAAACUUUAAUUUUAUAUAUUAUGCGUUGCAAUCUAUAGCAAAAGUUGACUAUAUGGCAAUAGAGCUUAUAUGUUUCUUUACUAAUAACUCAUGAAUAGAAUUUGGCUAGCUCUUGUGGUGGCAAAUAUUGGGAUAACGAUCAUCCGGAAUGCUUGAGGAACUUAGAAAAUUUUCAUAUGGUAAGAGUGAGAUUUUAAAUCAUGCAGUUUUUUUUUUUUUAAAGAUAACCUAAGUAAAAUAAUAUUAAUGGAAAGCCAAAAUUUUUAUUCGAAAUUUAUCGUUAAUUUAGAAUGCUUUGGUAAAAAUGUAUUGGUGUUACAUGAACUUUUGCGAUUUUGAAAUAGGUACUUUCGUUUCAACAAUUUUGAUUUUCCUACUCAAUCUUAUACUCUUUUGGAUUUGAAAAAGUGUUUUUAGAAAAUUUUAUCAAAUUCUAUUAGAGUUGAAUUGUUAACAAAAAGAAUUUUAAAAAAUAUUCUAUCAAAUAAUAAAAUAUUUUAUCAAACACUAAAUGGUUUGUAAAAGAAAAUUUUAGGUUUGAUAUAUAAAUUUUUAUUAUAUUAAUUUAAUUAUAUAUCUGUUUUUUUGCAUGCAGCUAACCAAGGAUGUUAACAAAGAGCAUAUUCUUUGUGCACCAUGUCAGUAUGGAUUGGAAACAUGCAUGGAAACUACUGGAUAUGAAUCUACAAAAAUGUUCGAUACCCUCUCCGAAGGAGAAAAUUAUGACAUAUAUUGUCACGUUAGUACGAUGUUUUACAAAUUACUCGAUGAUAAAAUAUAGUUUUUAUAUAGUUUUUUUUCGCUCUAUAAUUUAGGAAUUUCACCUUAAACAUUAUGAAACAUUAUGAAAUGCUUUUUUUUCAAAUAUAUUUGUUGAUAGUCUAAUUAUUUUGGUAACAGAGUUUUGAAGUAACGCCACAAAGGCUCUUCAACUUGAGAACUACAAGGGAAGAUCUCCAUGCGAAGCCAGUAAGGGAUUUUAAUUUAUUAAUUGCAAAAUGUGUUAAAUUGCAUAUUACAUCUAUUAUCACUGAGAAUAAUAAUGGUAUAGCUUUUACAAUAAAAUAUUGAUCUAAUACUUGUUAGAGUGAGAUCAGUUUUAAGUAGGUCAAUUAACAAAAUGGAGACUUUGUAAACAUGGUAUUUCAUCUUGUGAAACUAUGUAUUAGAUCUACAAAAAUAAUGAAAUACUUUACAACGAUCAGACACACUAGCAAUAAUAACUUGUUGGUCCAAUCGGUUCAAAAUGUUUAAGUCCAAUUAUUAUCAUUAGGGUCCAUGGUGCCUUAUAUUCCUAACUGCAACUCCGUUCUCAUUCAAUAUGGGACUACUGGGGUAUCACAGACUUACCAAGUCUAGAUCCUGACGUCCUCAUUAAUACUCACCCCAUUUAGGUCCUAAUGUCCUCGUCAAUCCAAACACACAUAGCUUAAGAUCACCAAGCGAUGUGAGGCUUACCCCACAUAUCUAGCUGGUGAAUCUUCUCUAAUACCAAAUAUAACAACUUGACCCACUAGCAAUAAUAACUGGUUGGAUCCAAACCACUGGUCCCAAAUACUUAAGCCUAAUUAUUAGUUCUAGAAUCCAUGGUGCCUUCUAUUUCUAAUCACAACCCCGGUUUCAUUCGAUGUAGGAGACUAUUGGGGUGUUAUAUGCUUCAUUAUUUUAAGUUCACUAAUGACAAUAAUAUGAUUACCAAGAUAACUGUGACACCCCAAUAGUCUCACAUCGGAUGAAAAUGGGGUUUUCAUUGGGUAUAUAAGAGAACUCAAUCAUAAUAAUAAUAACCGGGCUUAAGCAUUUUGAGUCGAUGGUUUUGGUCCAACGAGUUAUUAUUACUGGUGGGUCGGAUCGUUACAUUUGGUAUCAUAGCUGGUUCACCAGCCGAAAAUGUGAGAUGAGUCUUGGCCGAGUCAAGGUUGGAAUGACAGACUAAGCUAGGGGCGAUGAAUGAUAUGCGAAGUCAGGGUCGGAAUGACAAGGCUAGCGAGGCAAGUCUCAUAUCGCCUGGUGAUCCUGGGAUGUGUGUUUGUUUAGGGUUGGUGUCACGCCCCGAGCCCGAUCCCUUUUGGCCGGUUCGAGAGCGUCGACAGACGCCGAACGGACAGAGUUUUCCCCGUCCGCCCAAGGCUCAACACAAGUAUCAAUAGAGUGCAAAUUUGCAUAAGCGGAAGUAUACACAAUGGCUUGCACGAGAACAGGCAAUAGCCAAGGUGAAGGAAUUAACCAUUCAGUAUACAAGUAAUAUGACUAAAUUUAAAUCACAUACAUGUAUCCAACUAUAAUCAAGUUCUGUCACAUUCUUGCAUCAUUUUUUUUUACAUCUCAUUUCUCCCAAAAUAUAACUUUUGACAUUUAAGGUAAAUAUCCUUUACAUCAUUCAUUAAAGCAAGUUCAUAAUACUAAAAUCAUCAAAUACAAAAGAUGAUAGUAAAGGGUAUGCAACUACAAAAUGGAAUCCAUCUCGGGCGGUCUCUACCUAGGGCGCGAUGCCCUUACCGCGAUCAUCUGCCGGCUCGCUCGGUCCCGGCUCUGUGGAAAUAGUGGGGUGAGAACUACAACAAAGUUUCCAGUGGGUUCGGCAACCAACCACGACUAUCCCACUAGGUCUAAUCAGGCAUAAUAGAAGAAAGAAUAGAUAAUAACCAACUAACAAAUGCAGCUAAUAUGCCUGAACGAUAAAUAAAACUAUGCUCGAUAGAAUGCUCAUGAUGAAUGCAAGAUUAACUUUUCAUUACCCAAUCUCAUGGCUAGCCCGUAGGUUUCGCCCUCACAAACUCACCAACCCAAAUCCCUAUUGUCGGGGAGAUAACCGCUACGACCCGACGGGACCGCCCUCUGGGGAGAUAACCGCUACGACGCAGUGAUGACAACUCCGGAGCACAUCGCCCGAGGGGGAGCUACCGCCCUCGAGCAGGACUAUUAGGUGAGUACGAUCAAUCCUUAACUUUAAGGAUUCCAAGUUCAAUCCAUUCCUUGACUCCAAGGAGAACCAUGUUCAUAUGACCCUUAACUCUAAGGUGCAUUUGUCAUAAUGUCACUAACCCAAUUCACUUGCAUUCUCUAACCUCUACUAGUGUCAUGUACACUACUUGAUCUUGUUCUUUGUCAUUGAUGCCACACUUGUUUUCUAGGUGCUAUGUUCUUGUACUCAUGCCACACUUUAUGUCUAUGUCAACAUGUCACAUUUGUUUACUAACCCUUCUAGGUUCUUGUCCUUUGUCAUGCAUAUAUAGGGUUACCAAUUCUCAUUCAUUUACUACUAUUUUUCAAGCAUUAAAACUCAUGUCAUGCAAUAGAAAUUUACAAUUAACCCUACUAUACAACAUGCUCAAUAUAAGUACAUAUGCUCAAAUAUGACGCUUUAGACAUAAAAGGAUUUCCGAUGUCCUUGGAAUGCACCACCCACCUUAGAUGGUUACAAGGAUGCUACAGUGAAUUUCUUGGAAUUUUCGAAGCCCUAAUCCGCGUGCUGCGGCUAUCUGUACGGAAAACGAUGUUUUUGUAAAUAACUUUGCGCACACUCGUCGGAUUGUCGAACCGAGCGUUCCAACGCGUUUAAAAUACCCUCAAUUAGGUUUCUACACGAUCAAAAUAGAUCGAAACCUCACUUGGGCAAAACCCCUCUUUGGGAUGCCCUAACAUGCCAUUUUUGCAUUUCCCCUAAAUUGAUCUCAUUGCUAAGCAAAAGAAAGCUUAGAUACACAUGGGAAGCUCUCUAAUAAGGUUUUCAAGCUUUUAGAACCAUCCCUAGGGCAUCUACUUUGAGCCCUAGAGAUCCACCAUGAGAGGGGUCCAAGACAACCAUGGAUUUCAUGGUUUCAAGGUCCCUAGAGGGUUUCCUCACUUGUAGAGAGAUCAAAACCCAAAAAUCUAAGGUCUAAACCCAAACCCUAAACUCAUUUUUGCAUAAGGACUCACCUUUGCCCAAGCUCCACCCAAGCCUUCUUGUUGGAGAGCUUCUAGAGCCACCCAAGCCUCCAAAUCCACCUUCUCCAAGCUUUUCUCCUUCUUCUCCAAGCCCUAGCCCAAGCUUUUAGAGAGGGAAAGAGAGGAAAUCAGAGGGAGAGGAGAGGAGAUGGGUUUUGCUGUGAAAAUGGGAGAGGAAUAGGCCAAAUAACAUGUUGUGACAUUUGCAAUUAGGCCCCUCAACUUAAUUCUGUAGCAGACUUCACCCCUGCUGCCAGAGCCCCUGUGUACCGGUACACGGAUUUGUGUACCGGUACGGGCCUGCGCAGAAGCCCAAACCCAAGAGCAGACCCUCUCGGUUGCGCAGUUUGUGUACCGGUACACGGGUCCCGUACCGGUACACCUUCACGCAGACUCAAACCCGAGAGCAACCAGUGCUCGGGUCGCUUGCUGUACCGGUACAGCCAUCAUGGCGUACCGGUACACAAUGCUCCAGAUUUCAGGUUUGGCUCCGAUUCGACUCUACUACGCGCCGAUCGAUGCCAAACUCAUACUAAUACCUCUUUAACUCAUUUUUGCCCUUCCAAACGUGUUGGAAUGCAAAAUGGAACUCACCAAUACAUUUCUCUCGACACUUUAACCAAUUUGAUUAAGGUUCGAUUAUCGUUUUCGGGUUUCGAUACGUUACAGUUGGCGAGUACGUCGGGGUCUAAACGGGGGGAGUCUGUGACACCCCAAUAGUCUCAUAUCGGAUGGGAAUGGGGUUGUCAUUGGAUAUAUGAGAGGAUUUCAUCCUAGUAAUAAUAACUAGGUUUGGGCCAGUGGAUUUCGCCUAAUGAGUUAUUAUUGCUAGCGGGUCGGGUCGUUACAAUAAUAAAAAGUAUAAACCCUAGGGAUGCCUAAAACACCUAUAUAUGGUGUUUUUCUUUAGGCGAAUCAUCUUGUAAAUUUCUCAAGAUGUUUUCACUUAAAAAGAUUUAAGAGAAAUGGAGAGUAGUUGGCUAUUGAGACUCAACAAUAAAAAUAAGAAUUUUGCUAAAAAAAGUUCAUUUGAAAUGGGGAGUAAAUAUUGUUGAAAUUCUAUAUUAGAAUAUCUAGACUAAACAAUUAAUUAAUUAAUAAUAUAUAUAUAUUUUAAUUAAUUAAUAAUAUAUAUAUAUUUUUAAUUAAUUAAUAAUAUAUAUAUGUUUUUUAUACUUUCUAAUGAUUUGAUUCUGGGAUAAAAACGUCAAAAUUAUGUUUUUUUGUUUUUUUCAGAGAGAUAGGUAGCAUGCUACCCAUUUCGUUUAUUUCAUUUUAGAAAUAAACUUAGCUAGAAAUGUGAAUCAACUAGGAUUCCAAGGCCCAAGCCCUUUGCCACUUGCGCUACGGAUGGUCGGUACGUUAAAAUUAUGUUGAUUAACAUGACAUAUUCGUAUAUCUAAAUACAUUGAAAUUUGUUAAUUUCAGCCGAAGGUCUCGAAACAAACUGAGAAACAAUCAAAAUUAUUAAAAAAAAUUUAAAAACUACGCUCUUACACUGUAUCUCGGAACAAACUAAUGUGUAUUUUUAGAUUAAGUCAAGGUUUAUAAUAAAUGUCGAAGGUAUUUUCUGAAUGAAAUCUUUCGACAAUAAUGAAGCAACAUACACCAAUUUCGAAUGCAAAGUACUUACUAAAGGCCCCUAUUAAAAAUUUAAAAAUAUCUCAGUAAAGUAUCUGACUUUUGCUAUUCUCGUCGGAAACUCAUAUUGUAUUUCUUUAUGUAUAGCUAUAUUCAAAAGUAGAAUUCAAUGUUGUUUUUAAUGGUAAUAGGGCGUUUUGUGAUAAUCAUGAAUUUAAUUUUCAGAUUGAAGUAUCAGGACCAUGGGAAAGAUGUUCAAAGCGUAUCCAAUAUCAAAGAAACGUUUUGAGUUUGACACAAUAUCAUUUGAAUCUCACAUCUAAAGGGUGUCGAGCAUUUUUCUAUAGGUAUGUAUGUAAUGUACAUGAAGAUUUCUUUUCGUUUCUAACAAAUCAAUUAAUAUAACUUUGUAUAUAAUGCAUAAAUUCGAGUGCGCUAUGAAGUAUUAAAAAAAAUAUCAAAAAGUAGAGCAAGGAUAAUUUUGUUAGGCCACAAAAAUUUUCAAAAUAUUAAUACGAUCGGAUUCUAACUAAUAACUAAUGAACAGAAGCAUGACAAAUACAAUUUAGGCAUGCUUAUUGAAAAAACAUUGUCACGAAGAUCACCAUAUAGUUUUAAGUUCAAUGUUGAAUAUUUUAUAUUGAUUUAAAAAUUUAUUAUCUAGCAAUAUUUAUGAAUACGUCUAACUGACUAACUUUAAAUCUGGUAAAAAUUAUAUUUACAAUUCUCAUGAAAAGAUCUAGUAAAGUAAUUCUAACCGAUAUCAAAAGGAGGCUUCGGGUUAUUAUGCAGUUUUGUAAAUACCAUCUAUCCAACAAGCAUUGCAAGCUAAAAGCAAAAAGUGUUUAAGGUAGUAAUUGUUUAUUAUUAUUGCAAUUUAGGUAUUGUUCUAUUCGUUGCAUAUGUGUAAUAAAGUUUAUCAUGCACCCAUAGGUUUCCACAUAAAAACUACUUAUAAUUUGAAGUUGACCUCAUUUGCUAGAAGAUUUGGAAGGUUUUCUAAAGAGAAUAGAGUGCAAUGAAUGUAAAUUUUAUUUGGGAACUUUGAGUAUAAAAUAAUGUUGGCAAUUUUUAGAAGAUUUGAAAUAGAAAAGUUUCGCAGUAAGAAGUGUUUUAUAAAUUCAAAACAAGGCCAUAUAUGGACAAGAUAUAAAUGUCACAUUUAGUUUAUAUUUAAUUUAAUUCUCUAUUUAUAAUAAUAGGUUUACAGAUUUAUAAGCUGCUUUUAAUUUAAUAUAUUUGCAACUUUUGUAUGACAAAAUUAUGAAAUGAGUAGUCUAAGCCACUAGAAGACAAGCAAUUUUUUAUCUUAUGAUGUCCCCAAAGCUCUAAAUUGGAAAAAUUGUCAAAAUACAAUUGUAAUGAUAUUUGUUGUCAUAAUUGAAUUAGUUUUUCAUAUUAAUACUCUCCUGUAUUAGCUAGUCAUUCAACAAUAGUUUGUAAAACUAUUAUAAUAUAUGAUUAUAUUACUUAUUGCUCUUUUGAUGAUCCCAAAAGAUUUAUUCGAUUAUUUUACACAUUAUUUAUACUAAUUUUCAAAAUAUUAAUUUUACUUUAGCUAAAGUUUGAUUAAUAUGAAAGAUUGCAUUACUCAAUCUGCUUAUCUUUUGUUGAUCCAAAAGUUUGAAAACUUGCAUCUAUAUACUAUAAUUGAUAUAUUAUAAUUAAAUUAGGAUAAUUUUUUCAUGAUUUUCUCAGUUUUAAAUUGAUUUUUAAUUAAGUAAUAUAAAUUUAUUUUUUGCCAUUUAGUGGGGAUCAUGAUAUGAUCCUUCCUUAUACCGCAACACUUGAAUGGAUCAAAACUUUAAACUAUUCAGAGAUUGAGAAGUGGCACCCGUGGUUCGUGGAUGAUCGAAUAGCUGGGUAAAUUUUUUUUGCUUCUAAUUCAGUCUUUUUUCUUUUACUCAUCUUAUUCAUGUGACUAUUUUUUUUUUUACAGCUAUGCAGUUCGUUAUGAAAAUAAUUUAUUAUUUGCAACACUUAAAGUAAGUAAUAACCAUAUAAUAAUAUAUAUGUAUAUUUUAAAGUCUAAAAAAUGCAACAAAUUGUUACCUGCUAAUUCUUGAUUAGCACAUUAAAAUAUGACAGUUUAUUUAUAAUUUGACAGGGAGCUGGUCAUUCUGCAAUGCAGUACAUGCCACGUGAAGCAUUUUCUGCCUAUCAGAGAUGGAUUGACGGUGCUGAAUCUCUUUAGUAAAACAUUCAUUAAGAAUGUAGUGGAGCUUAGUUUCAAUCUUUACAUUUGUUGAAUGUUAACUAUCAAUAAAGUGAAGAAUUUUUUCUAAAUGAGUUAAGAUCUAUUAGGAUUAACAUAAUUAUCAAAUAUAUUUACAUUUUUUAAUGAAUCUAUUUUUAGAUACAAAAUGUGUCUCCCCCCUUCCUCACUCUACUUGUACCUUCCACCAUUACUCCACUCUACCUAUGCAGCAUCUUACAAGAGAGAGCAACCCAGAAGAUUUUUAAAGGGCUUUUUUAUAAAAUAACUUUUUAAAAUUUUAUUAUUUAUAAAAUAAUCUUGUCAAAAUUAUAUUUAAAAAAUUAAUCUCUUAAAGACGGUGAAUGAUUCAUCGCUUUUAUAAAGAGCCUAAUUUCUCAGAAAAACGAUGACUCAUCCACCGCCUUUCACUUGUUUAUUGUUUCUUUCUAUAUUCCUAACAACCACAUAAAUAUCUCAACAAAUCACAUAUAAUCUUAAUAACCUGAAAAUUCUAAUAAUCUAUUCAUAUAAUCCUUACAAUAANGCGAUCUUGGGCUCAGAAUCUUCGUCUCGAAGUCGCGAAUCUAGCACGCCAAAUUUCGUCGCGUUUCGACACUCCUGCGCGGAAAACGAGCCGAAACACCGACGGUCGACACUGAAAUUCUGCGAAAACAGCACCAUGCUCGGAUUCAAUGGAGCUUGAAGUAGAGAAGAAAUCCAUGGAGGAAAGAGAGCUACCCACCUCUAACAGCGACUCCAAUUCCGGCACGGCGUCGAGAACGACGGAAACACAUCCUCGCCUAGUUUCCUCGUAACGCUACGAUCCCAACCGCACCCUCGAACGGCUUCGCGGCGCGUCGUCGGCGUCGAACUCGUGCUCGCGGCUACCUUCUCCGAGCUCUUUGCUUCGGUUGAACAAAGAGAGAAGUAGAAAGAUUAGGCAAUGCCCACCUAAUUGUUGAUAAGCAUGCAAAGGGUGCACGUGGCAUCCAAGCCACCCUAAUUUGCAUGCACAGGUGAACGUGGCAUCCAAGCCACCCCAAUUAGCACCAACCGACAUAAAACAUAAAUAAGUUAAUUAAUUAAUAAAUAAAAUAAGGAUACUACUAGAGAUGUCAACGGGUCGGAUUCGGGGCGGAUUUUUAAAAACCCGAACCCGAACCCGACUCCAAACCCGAGACCCGAAUCCGAAUCCGAAUCCGACGGAUUUUAAAAAUCCAUAUCCAAACCCGAACCCGACCAAAAAUCCGAAACCCGAACCCGAACCCGAACCCGAAAAUUUAAACCCGAAACAAUUACUUCUUUUUUCAAUAUUUCAAAAUAUAUUAUAUUAAACCUCAAUUUUUAAAAUACAAAUUCAAAUAUAACAUCAAAUUUUUAUAUAUAUAUAUUAUAUAUAAUACAAAAUAAAUUCGGGUUUGGAUCGGGUUCGGGUCGGGUUUGGGUUCGGGUCGGGUACAAUCAAAAUUCAUAUCCGAAUCCAUAUCCGUCGGGUUUCCAUUUUUGAUAUCCAUAUCCGAAUCCAUAUCCAUAUCCAGCGGAUAUAUCCGUUUCAUUCGGGUUCGGGUUCGGAU
rnacentral:lncRNA from 1 species